AUGGCUAUGGAAAUGCCAUAAUAGGUAGGUAUGGUGGUUGUUUUGAGGAAGAUAUAAGGAGGUUUAUGUGUGACAGAGCGUAUCAUAUCACGGGGUUUGGAUGCACCGGCGAAGUUUGCACCAACUCUCGAGGUGAGAAAGGGCAAUGCACAGUACCGAAGAGGCUAGCAAUGAUGGAAGGGUGAGAGUGCGUAUAAUCCAUGGACUCAACAUUAGUCAUAAAUAACUCACAUACUUAUUGCAAAAAUCUACAAGUCAUCAAAAACCAAGCACUAUGCACAUGCUCCUAGGGGUAUAGAUUGGUAGGAAAAGACCAUCGCUCGUCCCCGAUCGCCACUCGUAAGGAAGGAAAUCAAAGAAACACCUCAUGCUUCAAAUUUGUCACACAACGGUUACCAUACGUGCAUGCUACGGGACUUGCAAACCUCAACACAAGUAUUUCUUAAAUUCACAAUUACUCAACUAGCACGACUCUAAUAUUACCAUCUUCAUAUCUCAAAACAAUCAUCAAGUAUCAAACUUCUCAUAGUAUUCAAUGCACUCUAUAUGAAAGUUUUUAUUAUACCCCUCUUGGAUGCCUAUCAUAUUAGGACUAGUUUCAUAACCAAAGCAAACUACCAUGCUGUUCUAAAGACUCUCAAAAUAAUAUAAGUGAAGCACGAGAGUUCAUCUAUUUCUUCAAAAUAAAACCACUGCCGUGCUCUAAAAGGAUAUAAGUGAAGCACUAGAGCAAAUGACAAACUACUCCGAAAGAUAUAAGUGAAGAUCAAUGAGUACUCGAAUAAUUAUGUAACUAUGUGAAGACUCUCUAACAUUUACGAAUUUCAGAUCUUGGUAUUUUAUUCAAACAGCAAGCAAAAUAAAAAAAAAUGACGCUCCAAGCAAAACACAUAUCAUGUGGUGAAUAAAAAUAUAGCUCCAAGUAAAGUUACCGAUGAACAAAGACGAAAGAGGGGAUGCCAUCUGGGGCGUCAUUUUAGCUUAGGCUCUUGGUUGUCCUUGAAUAUUACCUUGGAGUGCCUUGGUGAAAGGAUCGAUAUGGUUGACUAGAGAGGGGGGGGGGGUGAAUAGGCAACUAACAAUUUUUAGCUUUUCUUUACCAAAUUAAACUGUGCAUCAAAUUAGGUUGUCUAGAUGUGCAACUAGGUGAGCAACCUAUAUGAUGCAACAACAACGAACACACAAGCAAGCAAGAGAUGUAAUGCUAAUAAGCUUGCACAAGUAAAGGUGAGAGAUAACCAAGAGUGGACCCGGUGAAGACGAGGAUGUGUUACCGAAGUUCCUUCCUUUUGAGGGGAAGUACGUCUCUGUUAGAGCGGUGUGGAGGCACAAUGCUCCCCAAAAAGCCACUAGGGCCACCGUAUUCUCCUCACGCCUCACACAAUGCAAGAUGCCAUGAUUCCACUAUUGGUGCCCUUGGAGGCGGCGACCGGACCUUUACAAACAAGGUUGGGGCUAUCUCCACAACUUAAUCGGAGGCUCCCAACAACACCACGAAGCUUCACCACAAUGGACUAUGGCUCCGUGGUGACCUCAACCGUCUAGGGUGCUCAAACACCCAAGAGUAACAAGAUCCGCUAGGGAUUGGUGGGGGAUUCAAAUUUCUCUUGGUGGAAGUGUAGAUCAGGGCCUUCUCAACCAAUCCCAAGCAAAUCAACAAGAUUGAUUGGCUAGGGAGAGAGAUCGGGCGAAAAUGGAGCUUAGAGCAUUAAUGGAGCUUAGAGGUGGAAGAGGUAGUCAACUAGAGGGAGAAGACACCCCUUAUAUAGUAGAAGAACAAAUCCAACCGUUAUCCACCAACCCAGCCUGCGCAACGCGGUACUACCGUACCAGAGGCGUGGUACUACCGCAGGGGCAAGCGGUACUACCGCAGGGCCCCGCGGUACUACCGCCCAUGCAGCAGAGACCAGCCCAGCCCAAAAUGCACUAAGGUAGAGGGCGGCAGUACUGCUGGCGCGGUACUAUCGCGCCCCCUUGCGGUACUACCGCAAGGCAGGGACUGACCAGAUAUGGGAAGGCACGGAUAUAAUAAAUUACAUCCGUGGCUACUUCUGCUGAGUUGGAGUCGAUGCAAAAACCCGAUACGGUAGUACCGUAAGCCAACAGCGGUACUACCGCGCUAGGCGCGGAUGAAAUAAUUUCAUCCGCCCCUUACUGCCACAUACUUGCGGAACUAAGCCAGAUAGCACAGUACUACCGUGCCCAGUGCACGGUACUACCGUGAUGGGUGUCACCCACUAGGGAGAGAGUGACAAUAUCUGGACUCCGGCCACAGUACUACCACUUGCCAGGAAGCGGUACUACCGUGGGCACUUGCGGUACUACCGCAAGGGCCUGCGGUACUACCGCUCUAAGGAGCAGUACUACCGCACACCCUAGUUCAGCAAGCACGCGCAAUAUUUGCAUAGACAAGGAAAACAUGGGAUGCUCCAAAGGCUAGAAGAAAAGGAGGAACACAGGAAGAUGUGUACGUGAUGAAUCCGCCCACCCUUUCCAACGCGGACCCCCUCUUAAUAGUACGGCUUCCCUACGACUCAAUACCACCGAAAAAAACGAAGAGAAACGCUGUCUUCCAUAGCCUUCGAGGGGAACCAAAUCAUCUUGUGCCUUAGUCAAUAUAUAUCUGAAAUAUUCGAUGCACAUGAUUAGUCCGCAAAAGUAUUGUCAUCAAUCACCAAAACCAACUAAGGGAUAAAAUGCCCUUACAAUCUCCCCCUUUUUGGUGGAUUGAUGACAACACGGGAUUUGCACAAGAGUAUAAUGCAAAGAGCAAGGGCAAACCCCAAGUCUCUAAAAUAUAGACGGGCUCCCCCUAGAUGUGUGCUAUCUUUAUGAGUGCUUUGGACUGCACGACACACAUACUAGGAUCAACACUCCCCCUAUAUUUUAUAGACAAGGCAUAUCUUGCAAUACGACUAAAACUAAGCAAGAUAGGAAAGAGCAUGAUGAAAUAAGCACAAGAUAGAAUAAGCUCACUACGGUACGACAGAGUGCAUAUGUCUUACACCAUAUGAUAGAAGGACUCACAAGCACAAACCAAAGCAAAUGACAUAAACGAAGUUCAACUGACCCAAACACGACACAACUCGCAAAUCCUACAUUCUCUCCCCCUUUGGCAUCGAGAUGCCAAAAGGGCAGAGAGGACACCUACAACAGAAGGGGUGGCUCAAGCUGAGUAGUCACUCGCACGCUCCCCGUCAAACUCGGUGAUACAUCUCCGUCGUAUCUACUUUUCCAAACACUUUUGCCCUUGUUUUGGACUCUAACUUGCAUGAUUUGAAUGGAACUAACCCGGACUGACGCUGUUUUCAGCAGAAUUACCAUGGUGUUAUUUAUGUGCAGAAACAAAAGUUCUCGGAAUGACCUGAAACUUCACGGAACAUCUUUUUGGAAAUAAUAAAAAAUCCUUGCAAAAGAUUAAGACCAAGGGGCCCACACCCUAGCCAUGAGGGUGGGGGGCGCGCCCCCUACCUCGUGGGCCCCCUGGAGCUCCUCCGACCUCGACUCCAACUCUAUAUAUUUUCUUUCGAGGAGAAAAAAUAAGGAAGAAGGAUUCAUCGCGUUUUACGAUAUGGAGCCGCCGCCAAGCCCUAAAACCUCUCGGGAGGGCUCAUCUGGAGUCUGUCCGGGGCUCCGAAGAGGGGAAUCCGUCGCCAUUGUCAUCAUCAACCUUCCUCCAUCACCAAUUUCAUGAUGCUCACCGCUGUGCGUGAGUAAUUCCAUCGUAGGCUUGCUGGACGAUGAUGGGUUGGAUGAGAUUUAUCAUGUAAUCGAGUUAGUUUUGUUAGGAUUUGAUCCCUAGUAUCCACUAUGUUCUGAGAUUGAUGUUGCUAUGACUUUGCUAUGCUUAAUGCUUGUCACUAGGGCCCGAGUGCCAUGAUUUCAGAUCUGAACCUAUUAUGUUUUCAUCAAUAUAUGAGAGUUCUUGAUCCUAUCUUGCAAGUCUAUAGUCACCUAUUAUGUGUUAUGAUUCAUUAACCCCGAAGUGACAAUAAUUGGGAUACUUACCGGUGAUGACCGUAGUUUGAGGAGUUCAUGUAUUCACUAUGUGUUAAUGCUUUGGUCCGGUACUCUAUUAAAAGGAGGCCUUAAUAUCCCUUAGUUUCCGCUAGGACCCCUGUUGGUGUCAAAACCGGCGGAUCUCGGGUAGGGGGUCCCGAACUGUGCGUCUAGGCCGGAUGAUAACAUGAGGCAAGGGACACGAAGUUUUACCCAGGUUCGGGCCCUCUUGAUGGAGGUAAAACCCUACAUCCUGCUUGAUUAAUAUUGAUGAUAUGGGUGUCACAAGAGUAGAUCUACCACGAGAUCAGAGAGGCUAAACCCUAGAAGCUAGCCUAUGGUAUGAUUGUAUGUUAUGAUUGCCUUUCUAUGGACUAAAACCCUUUGGUUUAUAUAGUCACCGGAGAGGGUUAGGGUUACACAAGGUCGGUUACAAAGGAGGAGAUAUCCAUAUACGUAUUGCCUAGCUUGCCUUCCACGCCAAGUAGAGUCCCAUCCGGACACGAGACGAAGUCUUCAAUCUUGUAUCUUCAUAGUCUAAUAGUCCGGCCAAUGGAGAUAGUCUAGCUGUCCGGAGACCCCCUAAUCCAGGACUCCCUCAGUAUCCCCCGAACCAGGCUUCAAUGACGACGAGUCUGGCGCGCAGUAUUAUCUUCGGCAUUGCAAGACGGGUUCCUCUCCAAAUUCUGUGUACCUGUCGAAAUAAUGUCCGGUUCCUUGUGAUGGUUUGUACUCCUUGGCUUCUACGCCCAAUAAUGACCACUUUCCAUGUGUCAAGCGAAUGUGAAGAGCCAGGGUGUUUUCACAUUUACCCCCCUAGCUAUGUAGAUGAGCCGCCUAUUUAAAAAGACGAGGAUUCAGAUCCAAAUCACAUCAUCCUCCCUUGCCGAGUCUUCAUCGGAGCGUACCCGACAGAGAUCCAUUCCACCAUGGCCGGUCGACGCAGCUCCUCCUCUCGCACCCCUAGUUCCAAACCUGGAGAUUGGGAGAGAUGUUCCAUCCUGCACAGCAAAUUGGUGAUGCUUCAGUCCAAGGGAUUUCUUCCCCCAGCGUACCUGGUCCCGGUUCGAGCCAGGCUUGCCAUCUACAAUGGCGGAGAGCAAGCGGAGAGCCGUCCCAAUCCCUCCAAGGGAGAGCGGGUAUACCUUAUCCCUUAUCUAGUAAGAGGGCUCAGAUUCCCAAUUCAUCCGUUUCUCCGGGGGCUUCUGGAGUUCUAUGGCCUCCGGCUGCACAACCUUACGCCUGCCUCCCUGCUGCAUAUCGCAGGAUUCAUAGCCCUUUGCGAGUUAUUUUUGGGCUGUGAUGCUCAUCUCGCUCUGUGGAAGAAGCGGUUCUGCCUUGUGCCCCGUUUUAAGAAGGGAUCAAUAUAUCAAGUGGGCGGAGCCGAAGUGUGGCGUAUUUCCGGGACCGGAUACCUGUUCGGGACCUCGAAGAAGACGUCCGAAGACUGGCCUUCAGAAUGGUUUUAUAUAGAAGAUGUCCCCCUUCCGGACCCUAUUCGGAUCGGCCUUCCUGAGUUUGACAACGCCCCUUUGAAGAAGCGCCGGAGCUGGCGUCCACGGAGCCCCCUGGAGGAAGACGAUCGGGACAUUCUUUAUCUGAUUAGCCGGAUAAGCUCUUUAGUUCGAUCCGGAUUGACCAUGAUCGAGGUCAUGGCUAUAUGCAUUAUGCGGGGGGUGCAGCCGCUCCAGUAUAGAGGCCACCCCAUGUGGGAUUUCAACGGGGAGGAUGACGCCACCCGCCACGGCCGCAAAGGGCCGGGAUUGGCUGAUGAUCUAAUAAAGAUCUUGUCCACUUUGUACAAGGGAGAAGAGGAGGAAUUCCUCUGUGUCAACCCGCAGGGCGGAUUCUCUAUGUACAAUCCUCCGGGCUGGGUAAGCGGAGACUUUUUCUCGCCCAUCCGUUUCGUAUUCCCGUAGUUUAAGUAUUCAUUCUGGCGAUUUCAUCGCAGGAGCUGCGCCAGGCAGUAAAGGAGAUAAACAGCCCUCCUCCACAGCCCGAGGACCCUAGACGGUCCCUUGACCCGGCCUCCCAGGAGGAUCCGGACAUAUCCGUGGAGCUGAUCGACGGGUUUUUUUUACCAAGGGAGUAAUGGCAAUACCUUGGUGGCCAUCACGGCCGAUUACCCUGGGCUAGUUCCAGCCUCACAGGUGACUGAGACCAAAGUCCCAACACUUAAAAAGGGAUCCGUCCUUGUGCUCUCUUUUUUUAUUGCCGUAUAACAGCUGUGUCUUACAGGGGAGGUCCUCGGGGCAGAAGGCCGAGCCUGUGGCAACUAGCCAACAAGGGGCCGCUAGGCCAGGCAGGCUGAAAAGAUCCGCAGUCCGGAUUGAGGCACCGGGGCAACGGUAUGGCAUGCCGUCUUUAUUGCAAGACAUUAUUUACAGAGGCAUGUUAACGCCUAUGCCUUCUUUUCAGGAAAAAAGCGCUCGCCGGACUAUGCCCGGAGAGGCUACCAAUCGCGCCUCCACAAGCCAGGCUCCAAGGCCGGACUCAGAGGUGGGAACGAGUACAAGGCAUGUGCCAGGUGCUCCUCCGACAGAGGAUACGGAUAGACUGUCCGCCACCCAUUCCGAGGUGGAAAGUGCCAUGAACCACAGGCGUCGCCGGACUGUUCUUCGUGACGCUUGUUUCUCCCAAUAGGCAUUGGAUGCCUUCAACUCGGGAGAUGCGCACCUCCGUGCCGCUCAAAAUGGUCUAGCCAGAGCCACGGAGCAGUAUGUAAAAGACAUACGGGUGAGAAAAUUUGAUGAUUAUAUAUAUCAGUAGCCCCUGAGACUUGAAACAGUUAGGAUAACUGAUUUAAGGAUCAUUUGUUAUGUAGGUUCUUACAGAAAAGAAUACUCAACUAUCCCAGGAGCUGGAAGAGUGCAAAGCCCAACUCCAGGCCGCACUGGCCGCAGCAGGGGAGCCCAAAGAGACCCCCUCUGGUAACAUAUCCGUCAAAUGAUAAGUAUCAUAUUAGAGUGCGGCUUUAUAUGCAGAUCUGAUGAUAAAAUUGCAGAUGACGCCGAAGUGAAUCCGGAUAAGCAACAGCUCAUAUGCCAGCUGAAGGCCGAUGAGAGCGUGCUUACAAGGGUGAGGCAGGAGAAGAAUGAUCUCCAAGAUGCCAACACCAAGCUGGACGUGGAACUAAAAGAUGUUCGUUCCCAACUGUUGGACUUUGUUAAGGAGAAUCGGCGGCUUCGACGCGGCAUAUUUAGUAAGUGCUUGAACGAACUUUGAAAAAGAGUUCGGCGAGGAAGCUGGCUGACAGGGUUAUGUCUGUAGGUAUGCUAACAGGUCGUCCUGCUAAGGAGAUGCCUAGUUCAAUGGGUGAUCUUCUUCUCGAGCUCGCACAGUUGCACGAACGAGUUCGGUAGGUGAUGCAAGGCGUUGCCCAGGCCUUGUGGCCGUCCAUCUCCAUACCCGAAGGCCUUGGAGAGCUUGCAGAAAAGCUGAAGGGAGCACGACGGUGUUUCCAAUUAUGGAAGAUAUCGGCCUACCGUCAGGGCGCCAGGGAAGCUUGGUCAAUGGUGAAGACAUGGUACACGAAGGCUGACCCGAACCACAUGGCCGAAGUCGGACCUGUGGGGCCUGAUGGCAAGGAGAUCCCUGUGAAUUUAGUGUACAGCCAAGUAGAAUUGGCCGCAAAGUAUUCCCAACAAUACUGUAGACUAGACAUCCUAUUGGAGGGCAUUGAAGAGGAAUUCAACCAGUCAAGUUGACUAUGUAAUUUUAAAGUGACAUAUAUGAUGUCUUCUAGCCGGACUGUAGAUCGUUUGUCGUGGCGGACCUUUUCGCUUCAACCUCGGGACCCGACAGUCCGGAGUGUAUCCGAAUACCCUCUCGGUUAUAUAAGAACCGGGGCAUGCAUGGAGACCAGGCGUAGGGGUCAUUAGUGCUUUAUCAGACAAGUGCCCAACUAGUUAUGUUAUAUUACAUGGGUAGUAAGAAACAUCUUCCAGAGAGAAUAGUUCCGUUAAGGGUUCCUUUCCCUGGGUAGGCAUGCCCUAGAGUGCAUGUCCGGACUGCGAUAAGAAGCGCAGUGAAAACGUCUGGGGCAGAUAUGGAUAAUAGAUAAAAGCCAUCUUUUGUUCACCGAUCGAAUAUUCUCUUAAGAAUGCUAGCUUUCGGCUUCACCCAGUCUGAGGCACAUGUCCGGCUGACCCGGCGGUAACAAUCGCAAAGGUGCUCCCCUUAUGCCCUUGCUGAAUUAACGGGAACGUAGGGCAUAAAUACAAGAGCCAGGCAACCCAGCUUGGCCAAAACUUAAGUCAUAUCGAUGCAUAUAAUGGUGAAAAAAGGUACAUGCGGAAGUAUAACACAUGUGUUGGGCGUGGGGCCCAGGUAAAUAAUUUAAGCUUCUGUGAGAGAAGCCCCUAGGUAUGAAGAGUGCGGCUAGCGCAUCUAUGAUGUAUGAGUGAGGCACAAGGUGAUCCUUGAAGGCCUAGGGAAAUAAAAAGAAAGAAAGGGAAACAAGACAGAUGAUGCAUAUGCAGAAAAUGGACGAAGGGAGGGGACUAACAUAAAGUCCGGAGCUAGGCGUAGAAUCUUUGGAGCCUGGCUGCGUUCCAUGGGUUUGGCUCGAGUCGACUGGUCGAUGCAUCCCGCAGUCGGUACGCUCCACCGGUCAGAACUUGGUCCAUAAUGAAGGGACCUUCCCAUUUGGGCUUGAGCUUGUUCUUUUUCUUAUCCGGCAGCCGUAGAACUAGUUCGCCAACGUUAUAAGUUUUGGCCCAUACUUCUCUCCUUUGGUAUCUGCGAGCCUGUUGCUGGUAAAAUGCGGAACUAGCUUUGGGUACGUCGUGCUCUUCCUCCAAUGUGUCCAGACCGUCCUGCCGAUCGAGCUCAGCUUCUCUUUCUUCAUACAUGCGCACUUGAGGUGAGUCAUGAAUUAUGUCAUAGGGCAGGACUGCCUCUGCGCCGUACACCAUAAAAAUGGUGUAUAUCCGGUACUACGAUUCGGCGUGGUCCGCAGUCCCUAGAGUACGGAGUCGAGCUCCUCUACCCAGUGAGUAUCGGACUCCGUUAAGGAGCGCACUAAUCGGGGUUUAAUGCCGCUCAUUAUAAGACCAUUUGCUCGUUCGACUUGACAGUUGGUUUGUGGGUGAUAGACUGAAGCGUAAUCGAGCUUGAUGCCCAUUUUGCUGCACCAGAGUUUUACCUCGUCAGCUGUGAAGUUCGUGCCGUUAUCAGUGAUGAUGCUAUGGGGACGCCGUAACGGUGUACAACCCCGGAUAUGAAAUCUAUCACCGGUCCGGAUUCGGCUGUUUUUACCGGUUUAGCCUCUAUCCAUUUGGUGAAUUUAUCCACCAUGACCAAUAAGUAUUUUUUCUUGUGGGUUCCCCCUUUAAGGGGUCCAACCAUGUCAAGCCCCCAGACUGCGAAGGGCCAUGUAAUGGGGAUCAUUUGGAGGGCGGUGGGUGGCAUGCGGCUUUGAUUUGCAAAGAGCUGGCAACCGGUGCAACGUUGGACCAAGUCCUGUGCAUCUGCCCGGGCCGUUGGCCAAUAAAAUCCUGUGCGGAAGGCCUUGCUUACAAGAGCCCGGGCUGCGGCGUGAUGGCCGCCGAGUCCGGCGUGAAUUUCUGCCAAAAGAUUCUGCCCUUCCUCUUCGGAGAUGCACCUUUGAAGGACUCCGGUAGCGCUUUUUUGUACAAUUCUCCCUCGUGGACCCUGUAGGCUUUGGAUCGCCGCACUAUGCAGCGUGCCUCAUUUUGGUCCUCCGGAAGUUCCCGUCUAAUUAGGUAGGCCAGGAAUGGUUCUGUCCAUGGGGCAAUAAUGGCCAUUAUUUCGUGGGCUGAUUGUGUUAUUUCGGUGGCAGAGCCUCCGAUUGUGCCAGAGAGUUCGGUAUCAGGUAUUUUGGCCGGGUCCGGACUGUUGUUAUCGGUGUCUCCUUCCCAUGCUACGAAUGGCUUGAAAAGCCUUUCCAGAAAAACGUUGGGAGGGACUGCGUCGCGUUUUGCGCCAAUGCGGGCGAGGAUAUCCGCCGCCUGAUUGUUUUCCCGAGCCACAUGGUGAAAUUCGAGCCCCUCGAACCGAGCUGACAUUUUUAGGACAACAUUGCGAUAGGCGGCCAUUUUUGGAUCCUUGGCAUCAAAGUCUCCAUUUAUUUGGGAUAUCGCGAGGUUUGAAUCCCCGCGCACCUCAGGCGUUGAAUGCCCAUGGAUACUGCCAUCCGAAGACCAUGUAGGAGGGCCUCAUAUUUGGCUGCGUUGUUGGAGUCCGUAUACAUUAUCUGCAGUACGUAUUGAACGGUGUCUCCCAUUGGGGAUGUCAAAACGACGCCGGCCCCCAGACCAGCCAACAUUUUGGAGCUGUCGAAGUGCAUGAUCCAGUUUGAAUAUGUGCCGUACUCUUUAGGGAGUUCGGCUUCCGUCCAUUCAGCGAUGAAGUCAGCCAAAACUUGCGAUUUAAUAGCUCGCCGUGGCUUGUAAGUUAUGUCGAACGGGAGGAGCUCAAUGGCCCAUUUGGCAAUCUGGACCGUCGCGUCGCGGUUGUUUAUAAUAUCGUUAAGUGGUACUUCCGAGGCUAUCGUUAUCGAACACUCUUGAAAGUAGUGUCGCAGCUUCCGGGAUGCCAUGAAUACCGCGUACGCUAUCUUUUGAUAAUGCGGGUACCGUGAUUUGCAUGGAGUAAGGACAGUGGACACAUAGUAAACCGGCUUUUGAAGGGGGGAUUUGUGUCCGUCCACUUCUCGCUCGACGACAAGCACUGCGCUUACUACUUGAUGAGUUGCCGCAAUGUAUAAUAGCAUUGGUUCGCCAAUGUUUGGCGCGACCAGGACUAGGUUUGUUGCCAAUAUGGCCUUUAUUUCGUUGAGUUCGGCCAUGGCGGCAUCUGUCCACUCGAAGUGUUCGGUGCGCCGGAGGAGGCGAUAAAUGGGUAAUGCCUUUUCUCCCAAGCGGGAGAUAAAGCGGCUUAGAGCCGCCACACAUCCAGUUAAUUUUUGUAUUUGUUUGAGGUCUGUUGGGGUAGCCAACUGUGACAAGGCUCGAAUUUUGGCCGGAUUAGCUUCAGUACCUCUACUGAAGACAAUGAAUCCCAGGAGCUUUCCUGCUGGUAUGCCGAAAAUACAUUUUUCUGGAUUGAGCUUGAUGUCAUAUGUUCGGAGGUUGUCGAAUGUGAGCCUCAAGUCGUCUACUAGAGUUUCGACAUGCUUGGUUUUAACGACCAUGUCAUCCACGUAUGCCUCCACUGUUUUGCCGAUCUGGUUUGCCAGGCAUGUCUGAAUCAUGCGCUAAUAUGUUGCACCAGCGUUCUUUAGCCCAAAGGGCAUUGUGUUGAAGCAGAAUGGGCCGUAUGGUGUGAUGAAUGCCGUUGCGGCUUGGUAUGGCUCUGCCAUUUUGAUUUGAUGGUAGCCGGAGUAUGCAUCGAGGAAACACAAUGAAUCGUGUCCUGCGGUAGCAUCGAUGAUUUGAUUGAUGCGGGGGAGGGGGAAGGGAUCCUUUGGGCAGGCCUUGUUAAGGUCCUUAAAAUCGACGCACAAGCGCCAGGAUUUGUCCUUCUUUGGUACCAUCACCAGGUUUGCUAGCCAGUCCGGAUGUUUUAUGUCUCUGAUGAAUCCGGCCUCCAAUAGCUUGGCUAGUUCCUCUCCCAUGGCUUGUCUUUUAGGCUCAAAGAAACGUCGAAGAGCCUGCUUGAAUGGCUUGAAUCCUUUUAGGAUAUUUAGGCUGUGUUCAGCCAGCCUGCGUGGGAUUCCUGGCAUGUUUGAAGGGUGCCAGGCAAAAAUGUCCCAGUUCUCGCGCAGGAACUCUUGCAGUGCGGCAUCGACAUCAGGGUUUAAUUGCGCCCCGAUGGAAGCUAUUUUUGUAGGGUCCGUUGGAUGGACUUGGAAUUUGACUAUUUUGUCUGCCGGCUUAAAGGAGGAGGACUUGGAUCUUUUAUCGAGUAUCACGUCGUCCCUGUUCAUCGUGGAGCGCAGCGCAGUUAGUUCUUUGGCCGCUAGGGCUUCGGAUAGUGCCUCAAGGGCCAGUGCAGCUGUCUUAUUUUCGGCGCGGAGUGCUAUGUCUGGAUCACUAACAAGAGUGAUGAUUCCGUUGGGCCUGGGCAUUUUGAGCUUCAUGUACCCGUAAUGGGGUAUGGCUUGGAAGAUUGUAAAUGCCUCCCACCCUAAUAGAGCGUGGUAUCCGCUGCUGAACGGGGCCACUUGGAAUGUAAUUUCUUCGGACCUGUAAUUAUCCGGCGUGCCGAAUACCACGUCUAGUGUGAUUUUUCCAGCGCAGCGUGCUUCCCGACUAGGGAUGAUUCCUCUAAAGGUUGUGCUGCUUUGCUUAAUGCGGCUCCAGUCUAUUUCCAUCUUUUGAAGAGUUUCCUCAUAGAUGAGGUUUAAUCCGCUGCCGCCAUCCAUGAGUACCUUGGUGAGUCAAAAGCCGUCCACAAUUGGACUGAGGACCAGUGCGGCUGGUACUCGGGCCGUUCGGAAUUUAGGUUCGUCACUGGCAUUGAAGGUAAUAGCCGUGUCGCUCCAAGGAUUUGUUUCUGCUAUGUGGCAGAUUUUGGACGUGCUGCGGAGUGUUCGCUUCCGUCUAUUAUUUGACGCGAAGGUCUCAAAGAUCGUUAAGACCGUAUUGUUGUCCUCGGGGUGGUGCUCUGUGGUUUUUGGGAGGAGUAGAUCCUCACCACUUUUGGCCACCUGCCUGAGUAUCCAGCAUGCUCUAAGGCUGUGCGUUGGUAUCACAUCCACUGUACUAUGAAUUUUGCAGGGUCCAUUGAGCCAUCCCUCCAGUACGGUUCCUUGCCCCUUAGAGGGCUUUUGCUUUUUGGUAGUUAACCUAGGUGUAUUGUGAUAAUGCACCCUUUUAUUUCGGACUGGGUUUGUAUUUAGGGCCGGAUUAUCCCAAAAUUUUAUUUCGGUUUUCCAGGCGCUUUCCAUCACACAGUACUUUCAUACUAUGGACACCAAGUCGGCAAAGCGUGUAAUUUUGCGAUGACUUAUGGCAUUGAGGAUUCCCUUAUCUGUGCAAUUAUUGCAGAAGAACGAAAUUGUGUCUUCCUCGCGGCAGUCCUUUAUCCCGUUCUUGACCAGGAGGAAUCUGGCCCAAUAAUGGUGUACUGUUUCUUCGGGGUCUUGCCUAAUUUGGGAUAGAUCGCGUAUGUUUGGGUGGGUGGGUGGAAUUGAAUCCGAAUCCUCACCCAAUCUGAGGCUCAGUGGCCAAGGAGUUUCCGAACUCGAAAGUUUGGAUUCUUGGAUGUUUUCCGGUAAAUCUAGUCCGCUGCCUGAUUCUGGGUUCAGGAUUUGAGUGACAUCCUCCCCUCCGCGGGUAUCCAGCUUGGAGGGAUCGGGAAUCCGGACGUAGCUAGUCCUUAAGAUGGAUGAAGGGUUGCCGCAUUGUUCUUCCACCACUGCAGCGUGAUGGGUGACCUGGGGAGAGUUAAUUUCUCUCAGAUCGGGUUUAGGCCCAACCCGAUCGUAGUUUGUAGCGACUCCCAGGGUAGCGAUGCGAUCCAAGAGCUCGUUCAGGGAAGAGAGCUCCAUUGGAUCUAACUGCUCGACGAGUUCCGAGUUAACGUGAAGAUUGCUUUUGAUGACCCGAGAAGUCAUCGUCGGCGCAGCGGCCGAACAGGCGGUCAUAAGAAAACCGCCUAGCUGGAGAGUUCGGCCGAUAGCCAGAGCUCCCUCAGCGAUAGUGCCGUCUUUAAAGACGGGACGAGACAUCCUUCCUGGUGGCGACGACACAACGGAACUCUCAAUGAAAGCACCAAUGUCGGUGUCAAAACCGGCGGAUCUCGUGUAGGGGGUCCCGAACUGUGUGUCUAGGCCAGAUGGUAACAGGAGGCAAGGGACACGAAGUUUUACGCAGGUUCGGGCCCUCUUGAUGGAGGUAAAACACUACGUCCUGCUUGAUUAAUAUUGAUGAUAUGGGUGUUACAAGAGUAGAUCUACCACGAGAUCAGAGAGGCUAAACCCUAGAAGCUAGCCUAUGGUAUGAUUGUAUGUUAUGAUUGUCUUUCUAUGGACUAAAAUCCUUCGGUUUAUAUAGACACCGGAGAGGGUUAGGGUUACACAAGGUCAGUUACAAAGGAGGAGAUAUCCAUAUACGUAUUGCCUAGCUUGCCUUCCACGCCAAGUAGAGUCCCAUCCGGACACAAGACGAAGUCUUCAAUCUUGUAUCUUCAUAGUCUAACAGUCUGGCCAAUGGAGAUAGUCCGGUUGUCCGGAGACCCCUAAUCCAGGACUCCCUCAACCCCGCUACCACGGGAGGGUAGGACAAAUGAUGUCAUGAAAGUUCUUUUCCAUAAGCACGUAUGACUAUAUUCGGAAUACAUGCCUACAUUACAUUGAUGAAUUGGACCUAGUUCUAUGUCUGCCUAGGUUAUGACUGUUACAUGAGGAACCGCAUCCGGCAUAAUUCUUCAUCACUGAUCCAUUGCCUACGAGCUUUCCAUAUAUUGUUCUUUGCUUAUUUACUUUUCCGUUGUUAUUGCUAUCAUCACUACAAAAUACCAAAAACAUCACUUUUGCUACCGUUACCUUUUGCUACCUUUACCACUACUAUCAUAUUACUUUGCUACUAAAUACUUUGCUGCAGAUAUUAAGUUUCCAGGUGUGGUUGAAUUGACAACUCAGCUGCUAAUACUUGAGAAUAUUCUUUGGCUCCCCUUGUGUUGAAUCAAUAAAUUUAGGUUGAAUACCUUACCCUCGAAAACUGUUGCGAUCCCCUAUACUUGUGGGUUAUCAAGACUAUUUUCUGGCGCCGUUGCCGGGGAGCAUAGCUCUAUUCUUUGAGUCACUUGGGAUUUAUACCUUCUUAUCAUUAUGAAGAACUUGAGAGAUCCAAAAACCAAGAUUUAUCCCUCAACUACGAGGGGAGGUAAGGAACUGCCAUCUAGCUCUGCACUUGAUUCACCUUCUGUUUUGAGUAAGAUUGCGACACCUAAACCUGCUUCUGCUAUUCGUUCUGAUAUGUCGCAUAUUAUUGAUGAUGCCACUUCUUCUAUGCAUGAUACUUAUGAUGAAACUACUUCUAUGCUUGAUACUACUGUGCCACUUGGUGAAUUUCUUGAUGAACAACUUGCUAGGGUUAGAGAGAGUGAAAAUAUUGAAUCUGAUAAUAUUGAUGAAAGUGAUGAUGAAGACUCUCCCUCUAAUGAAUAUGAAUCACCUGUUAUUCCUGAGAGUUAUGUUUUUGAAAAAUAAGCUGCUUUAGCUAUUUUAUCUUGCAAAGAUAGAUUCGAGCUCAAGAGGUUAUUAGCUAAAUGGAAGCAGCAAUCUCUUAAUGCUAGAAUGAAACCUGACCCUGCUUUUGCUACUUCACAUAUCUGUGUUACUGAUAAGGAAUAUGAAUUUUCUGUUGAUCCUGAUAUAAUUACUUUGCUUGAAUCUGAUCCUUUUCAUGGCUAUGAAUCUGAAACUGUUGUGGCACAUCUUACUAAAUUAAAUGAUAUAGUCACCCUAUUCACUAAUGAUGAGAGAACUCGCUACUUUUAUAUCCUUAAAAUAUUUCCGUUCUCAUUAAAGGGUGAUGCUAAGAUAUGGUUUAAUUCUCUUGAUCCUAGUUGUGUGCGUAGUCCCCAGGAUAUGAUUUAUUACUUCUCUGCUAAAUAUUUCCCUGCUCAUAAGAAACAAGCUGCUUUGAGGGAUAUAUAUAAUUUUGUGCAAAUUGAAGAAGAGAGUCUCCCACAAGCUUGGGGGAGGCUUCUCAAGUUACUUAAUGCUUUGCCUGAUCAUCCUCUUAAGAAAAAUGAAAUACUUGAUAUCUUUUAUAAUGGACUAACCGAUGCUUCCAGAGAUUACCUGGAUAGUUGUGCUGGUUCUGUUUUCAGGGAAAGAACACCGGAUGAAGCUGAAAUUCUAUUGAAUAAUAUGUUGACAAAUGAAAAUAAUUGGACACUUCCUGAGCCUAUUCCUAAACCAACUCCGAAGAAAAGAGGUGUUCUAUUUCUCAUUCCUGAAGAUAUGCAAGAGGCAAAGAAAUCUAUGAAAGAAAAGGGUACUAAAGCUGAAGAUGUUAAGAAUUUACCUCCUAUUGAAGAAAUACAUGGUCUUAAUUUACCGCGUGUUGAAGAAACAUAUGAUCUUAAUCCAUUACCUAUUGAAGAAACUCAUGGUCUUGAUAACCCGACACAGGUAGUAAAGGUAAAUUCUGUUUAUAGAUAUGAUAAAGCUGAAAUCCCAUUUACUAAGUUUGCUAGCCCAUGCUUAGAUGAGUUUGAUAAAUUUAUGGUUAAGCAAGAAGACUUCAAUUCUUUUUUGGUAGACAAUUGAAAUACAAUUCAAAUAUGCUUGAACACUUGGGUGAUUAUAUGGCUAAUGUUAAAGGUGAACUUAAACUUAUUAGUAAACAUGCUUCUAUGGUUACCACUCAAGUAGAACGAGUACUUAAAGCUCAAAAUGAUUUGCUCAAUGAAUUGAAUAGUAAGAAUAAUGAUUAUGCUGUUAGAGUGGCUACUAGAACUGGUAGAAUGACUCAGGAACCUCUGUAUACCGAAGGCCAUCCUAAGAGAAUUGAGCAAGAUUCUCAGAGAAAUAAUAUAGAUGCACCUAGUCCGUCUAAAAGGAAGAAAAAGAAAAAUGAUAGGACUUUGCAUGCUUCUAGUGAACCUGUUGCUCAACCACAUGAGAAUCCAAAUGAUAUUUCUAUUUUUGAUGCUGAAACACAAUCCGGUAAUGAACCUGAAACUAAUGAUAAUGUUCAUGAUGAUGCUCAACCUAGUAAUGAUAAUGAUAUAGAAAUUGAACCUGCUGUUGAUCUUGAUAACCCACAAUCAAAGAAUCAACGUUAUGAUAAUAAAGACUUUGUUGCUAGGAAACAUGGUAAAGAAAGAGAACCAUGGGUUCAGAAACCCAUGACUUUUCCUCCCAAACCAUCCAAGAAAAAGGAUGAUGAGGAUUUUGAGUGCUUUGCUGAAAUGAUUAGACCUAUCUUUUUGCGUAUGCAAUUAACUGAUAUGCUCAAAAUGAAUCCUUAUGCUAAGUAUAUGAAAGAAAUUGUUACAAAUAAGAGAAAGAUAUCGGAAGAUGAAAUUUCCACCAUGCUUGCUAAUUAUACUUUUAAGGGUGGAAUACCAAAGAAACUUGGAGAUCCAGGAGUACCCACUAUACCAUGCUCCAUUAAAAGAAACUAUGUUAAAACUGCUUUAUGUGAUCUUGAAGCCGGUGUUAGUGUUAUGCCUCUCUCUUUAUAUCGUAGACUUGAUUUGAAUAAGUUGACACCUACUGAAAUAUCUUUGCAAAUGGCCGAUAAAUCAACUGCUAUACCUGUCGGUAUUUGUGAGGAUGUGCCUGUUGUAGUUGCAAACGUUACUAUUUUAACGGACUUUGUUAUUCUUGAUAUCCUCGAGGACGAUAGUAUGUCUAUUAUUCUUGGAAGAUCCUUUUUGAAUACUGCAGGGGUUGUUAUUGAUUGCACUAAAGGCAAUGUCACUUUUCAUGGUAAUGGUAAUGAGCAUACGGUACACUUUCCGAGGAAACAACCUCAAGUUCAUAGUAUCAACUCUAUUGGAAAAAUUCCAUCGAUUAUAUUUGGAGGUUUUGAAUUUCCUCUUCCUAUUGUUAAGAAAAAAUAUGAUAUUCUUAUUAUUUGGGAUGUGGAUAUCCUCGUUGAGGUAACAUAGUGUUAUUCGAAAUUUCUCCGGUUCCAUGUUAUUCGGAAUGAGUUCGUUAACAAGACUUGAUCAACCUUGUUAGUGGAUUCCUUUUGAUGAGCAUGAGAUGGAUGAAACUAGAAGGCACAACCUUCUGUACCCUCCUUUUACUUUCUGUUAUUUAUAUUAAAUAAAAUAAAAAUAGUAUUUUUCUGUCUGUUAUCUGAAUUAUCUGUGCAAUAUAAAAAUACCUCGAAAAUAAAAGUUCUCCAAAUGCCCUGAAAUUUAAAUAUGAUUUUUUCUGGAAUAUUUGAGAAUAUUUGGCACCAAGAACACAACACGGGGGGCAUCCACCUGGCCACGAGGGUGGAGGGUGCGCCCCCUGCCUCGUGGGCCCAUGGUGGCCCUCCUCCACUUAUUCCUGCACCCACACACUCCUUCUUCCUCCCACAAACACGAAUAUCCAGCUCAAACCCGAGUCCAAGCUCAUUUUGCUGCCAUUUUCGAUCUCCUUGCUCAAAGCACCUCUCACAAAACUGCCUGGGGAGAUUGUUCCUUGGUAUGUGACUCCUCCAUUGGCCCAAUUAGUUUUUGUUCUGGUGCUUUAAUCAUUGCAAAUUUGUGUUGCUUAGGUGACCAUGUUCUUGAGCUUGCAUGUCAAAUUUAUAUGGUCAAAAGUAGUUCUAAUGCAUGAUAUAGGCUUUAGGCACUUGUAGGAGUUGUUGCUAUCAAUUUUGUUGAGCUUGGCUCACUUUUAUUUGAAGUUACUAAAAAUUUCAGAAAUUUUUCAUAGGAAGAAAUAUGUUUAGGAAAAUGUACCAAGGUGGCUCUUCAAGGAAACAAGAGCCCAGGCUUGCAAUGCGUGAUGCUGAUGAUGAGCCACCAAGAGACACUCCAGUGCGUCCUUGUGAAUGGCCUUCGGAAAACUUUAUGGAUCGAGCAGGAAUUAAGGAAGAAUUUAACGCAUAUUUGCGUAAUGCUGAUCUUGUGAGCUUCGAUGAAGAAAAGUGCCGCCAGUAUCACUAUCUCACUAGUUCCCUUGUGAGGAGGUUUGAAUUUUCAUCUUCACGUAAUUCUCCAACUGUCCUGUUUGAUCUUUAUGAAAAUUCUUACACUAUGGACUUAGAGGAUUUUACCACUGCUUGCAAACUUCCACAAUGGGGUAGUGUCAGGGAACCUCGCAAAUCUGAAUUUAGAGAUUUUUUUGCUUGUAUAACUGUGGGGGAAUCUAGAGAUAUAACACAAGCUACCAUAGGGAGCAUUCAUUUUCUUGCUAUACAUUAUUUUGCUCUCUUCAUAGGUAGAUGCAUUAAUGGUAAAGAUGAGGCAUGUCACAUGUGUGUCCCUGACCUCAGUAUUCUUAGGAGUCCUGUGUUAGGAGAUAAAUCUUAUAAUUUGGGAGCCAUUGUUGCACGUAGGUUGCAUCUUAAUAGAUUUAACGGAGAUUUCUUUGGUGGAAUUUAUGCAACCUACAUAGCUAAUUUUCUUGGUAUAGCCAUACGUGAAGAUGAUAUUGAGUUGCCUCCCCCUUAUUUGGAUUAUGAGGCUAUGGUUCACCAGCAGUUUGUCGAGAGGAAUGAAUCACCUCUCCAGUAUCGCUUAAUCUUUGACAGAUGCCAUGAUGUCUGUAUUACUCUCCCUGCUCCUGCCUUCUUUGAUUAUCAUGCAAAAGGAAGAUAUGUUAUUACCAGAGAGGAGGCAGAUGAGUACAAGAGGAGGGCGGAGGCCGCUCGUCUCCACGCUGCAGCUCAGGAGGCGAUAGCCGCUGCAUCUCAGUACGACCCAAACUAUGAUUAUGGAUAUCCGUCAGGCCAGCCGUGGCCAUAGACCAACUUAGGCCAAAAGCCUAAGCUUGGGGGAGUACGUAUUUCCCACCGACAUUACAUUCAUGCUCACACACUCAUUGCUAGAUGUCGGUGCUCAUACUUUUUCAUUGUAUCAUCCAUGAUAGUUUAUUUCCCUUUUUAUGCUUUCUUGUGUGCUUAAUAAACCUUAAGAAAAACCAAAAAAAUUAGUCAUAGCUUUUAAUUAGUUUACUUUCCAUGCUUGUAAUAGUAAUUAAAAAGAAAACCCAAAAAGAUUUCCUGUUCUUCUUUUACUUGUUGGGAGCUUUCCCGUGUAAAUAGUUUUAUUUCUUUUCUUUUCUUUGGGGGUCGAUAGGAGAAGACCAUGAUUAAAUUGUUGAAGUAGCUCUUAUAUGCAUUAUUGUUGAUCUGACAAAAGAGCCCAUAUUGCCUUGUCUUCUCCUGUUUAUUGAAUGCUUGCAGAUUCCAGCUUAGUCCAAUGCACGUGCACUAUUAUUAUUACCCACAUCGUUCGGUCGUGCAAGUGAAAGGCAAUUAUGACGAUAUAUGAUGGACUACUGAGAUGAGAAAAGCUGGUAUGAACUCGACCUCUCUUGUUUUUGUAAAUAUGAUUAGUUCAUCGUUCCUGAUUCAGCCUAUUAUGAAUAAACAUGUUUGCAAUGACAACUAGAGAUCAUAGUUUCUUGUGCCAUGCUUGAUUAGCGAGGAGCUUAUAAUGGUUUACCUUGCGUGCCAACAUGCUAUUAAAAUGGUUGUGAUGUGGUAUGAUAGGGUGGUAUCCUCCUCUGAAUGAUUUAAGUGACUUUACUUGGCACAUGUUCACGCAUGUAGUUGGAACAAAAUCAACAUAGCCUUCACGAUAUUUAUGUUCAUGGUGGAUUAUAUCCUACUCAUGCUUGCAUUCGGUGUUGAUUAAUUUUAAUGCAUGUUCAUGACUGUUUUCGCUCUCUAGCUGGUCGCUUCCCAGUCUUUUGCUAGCCUUCACCUGUACUAAGCGGGAAUACUGCUUGUGCAUCCAACUCCAUAAACCCCAAAGUUAUGCCAUAUGAGUCCACCAUACCUACCUAUAUAUGGUAUCUACCCGCCGUUCCAAGUAAAUUUGUAUGUGCCAAACUCUAAACCUUCAAAUAAAUAUCCUGUUUUGUAUGCUCGAAUAGCUCAUGUAUCAACUAGGGCUGUCAGUAUCUUCCAUGUUAGGCGGGUUAUUCUCAAGAGGAGUGGACUCCGCUCCUCACUCACAAGAAAAUAUCUGGUCACUGGGAUGCCCAGUCCCAUGCUUUAUGCGAACUAAAUCAAAAUAAUUGGAAACAAAACUCCCCCUGGGACUCUUGUUAGUUGGAGGCACUUGUUGUUUCGAGCAAGCCAUGGAUUGAUGCUUGUUGGUGGAGGGGGAGUAUAAACUUUACCAUUCUGUUUGGGAACCGCCUAUAAUGUGUGUAGCAUGGAAGAUAUCACCAUCUCUUGGUUGUUAUGUUGACAAUGAAAGUAUACCGCUCAAAAUAUUAUUCACCUCUAUUUCAAAACCGAGCUUUGGCACCUCUAUGAAUCCCUGCUUCCCUCUGCGAAGGGCCUAUCUAUUUACUUUUAUGUUGAGUCAUCAUCCUCUUAUUAAAAAGCACCAGUUGGAGAGCACCGCUGUCUUUUGCAUUCAUUACUGUUAGUUUACAUUGAGUAUGACUUGACUGGAUCUCCUUUACCAUGAAUUACAAUGUCUAGUCAGUCCUUGAUUUUUAAAGGUGCUCUGCAUUUAUGUUUUGCGGUCUCAGAAAGGGCUAGCUAGAUACCAUCUUGUUAUAUCAUAUUAUGAUUGUUUUGAGAAAGUGUUGUCAUCUGAGAUUUAUUAUUAUUGCUCGCUAGUUGAUUAUGCCAUUGAUAUGAGUAAACAUGCGACCUAUGCGUUAUUGUGAAUAUGUUUAGUUCAUAAUCUUUGCUAAAAACUUGAAUGCUGGCUUUACAUAUUUACAACAACAAGAGCAAACAGAGUUUGUAAAAGUUUUUCUUUAUCACUUUCAGUUUGUCAACUGAAUUGCUUGAGGACAAGCAAAGGUUUAAGCUUGGGGGAGUUGAUACGUCUCCGUCGUAUCUACUUUUCCAAACACUUUUGCCCUUGUUUUGGACUCUAACUUGCAUGAUUUGAAUAGAACUAACCCGGACUGACGCUGUUUUCAGCACAAUUACAAUGGUGUUAUUUAUGUGCAGAAACAAAAGUUCUCGGAAUGACCUGAAACUUCACGGAACAUCUUUUUGGAUAUAAUAAAAAAUCCUUGCAAAAGAUGAAGACCAGGGGGCCCACACCCUAGCCACGAGGGUGGGGGCGCGCCCCUACCUCGUGGGCCCCCUGGAGCUCCUCCGACCUCGACUCCAACUCUAUAUAUUUGCUUUCAGGGAGAAAAAAAUAAGGAAGAAGGAUUCAUCGCGUUUUAUGAUACGGAGCCGCCGCCAAGCCCUAAAACCUCUUGGGAGGGCUGAUCUGGAGUCUGUUCCGGGCUCCAGAGAGGGGAAUCCAUCGCCAUCGUCAUCAUCAACCUUCCUCCAUCACCAAUUUCAUGAUGCUCACCGCCGUGCGUGAGUAAUUCCAUCGUAGGCUUGCUGGACGGUGAUGGGUUGGAUGAGAUUUAUCAUGUAAUCGAGUUAGUUUUGUUAGGGUUUGAUCCCUAGUAUCCACUAUGUUCUGAGAUUGUUGUUGCUAUGACUUUGCUAUGAUUAAUGCUUGUCACUAGGGCCCGAGUGCCAUGAUUUCAGAUCUGAACCUAUUAUGUUUUCAUCAAUAUAUGAGAGUUCUUGAUCCUAUCUUGCAAGUCUACAGUCACCUAUUAUGUGUUAUGAUCCGUUAACCCCGAAGUGACAAUAAUCGGGAUACUUACCGGUGAUGACCGUAGUUUGAGGAGUUCAUGUAUUCACUAUGUGUUAAUGCUUUGGUCCGGUACUCUAUUAAAAGGAGGCCUUAAUAUCCCUUAGUUUCCGCUAGGACCCCGCUGCCACGGGAGGGUAGGACAAAAGAUGUCAUGCAAGUUCUUUUCCAUAAGCACGUAUGACUAUAUUCGGAAUACAUGCCUACAUUACAUUGAUGAACUAGAGCUAGUUCUGUGUCACCCUAGGUUAUGACUGUUACAUGAUGAACCACAUCCGGCAUAAUUCUCCAUCACUGAUCCAUUGCCUAUGAGCUUUCCAUAUAUUGUUCUUCGCUUAUUUACUUUUCUAUUGUUAUUGUUAUCAUCACUACAAAAUACCAAAAACAUUACUUUUGCUACCGUUACCACUACUAUCAUAUUACUUUGCUACUAAAUACUUUGCUAUAGAUAUUAAGUUUCCAGGUGUGGUUGAAUUGACAACUCAGCUGCUAAUACUUGAGAAUAUUCUUUGGCUCCCCUUGUGUCGAAUCAAUAAAUUUGGGUUGAAUACUUUACCCUCGAAAACUGUUGCGAUCCCCUAUACUUGUGGGUUAUCACUCUGCAGCUGGGACGAACUCUUCCUCAGACUCUGUCCAGUGUGCUUGGUGAUCCAUUCUGCCUCUGGGGUGACGUCCUCCUCUGACCCGCUGGAGAUGUUCUCGUCGAAGGUCCUGAAAAUCCGCUUGUCGCGGCGGGGAGUCUCCUUGGAAGCCACAUGGGUCUUGUACUGCCCCUUUGCCUUCAUGCAGAACAACAUCUUCAUCUUGUUCUUCAGUCUCUUAGCCCAAGAUGGCUCAGAAGUGGGAGGGGUGUAACCCUCAGAGCCAUCCUCAUCCGCUGCCUCCUCCUCAUGCUCAUCUGCACCCACGUCCAUGUUAGCCGCGGCAUCAGCACGAGAGGUAGUGUUUGCCCACUGAGUCUUGAUACGGAGGUUGAUGGGCUCAUGCCAGAUCCAACUAGGGGCCUCAAAAUCAUCCUGAGGGUAGAGCUGCUCCCAAGUUGCUGAGAUCAACUGAAACAGAUAAGGUCCAUAGAUGGGGACCUUGUGGUUGUAGACCACAAACUGAAGCUCAUUCCACAUGAUAUGUGAGACAUCAAGUGGUAGUGUCUGAGAGUUGCGAGCGUCUGCACACAGGAGCAUCAUAUCCACAAGAUAGGCAUGCACCUUGUCCUUGUCCCCAAUGCGUGGGAAGAGAGUGUUGCGGAAGAUCCGGUGCAUGAUGUCGAGAAAGGAAAUGAGUACCCAAGUUGUCUUAUUAUUGGAGAGCUUCUUCUCCACAUAGAAGGGCAAAAGCUUGUUCUUGUUUGCAGACUCGGAAUUGGCAUGAGGGCGAACACCUUGGGGUGUGGCGAGCCCCUCAUCCAGAACCCCAAGCAAAGUCAUGAAUUCCUUCCAAGUAGCAAUCAGCCGCCGACCAUUGGUCAUCCAAGUCAUGGUCCUGUCCUCAUUGGGAUGAAAAUGCACUGAGGCAAAGAACUGAGCAAUGAUCUCAGGAUCAAAGUCUUUGUGGAAUGAGAUGAUAUGCUCAAUGCCAAAUUGCUCCACGAGGUCUAAAGCCUCACCAAAGUAUUCUCGAUGCUUCUCUUGCCUCAUGUGAUGCAUGUUGAUCCACUUCACCUCCACAUAGGUGUUUUGCUUGGCCUUGAUGACAUCUAGAUAGAUGAGAUUCUGCUGCUUGGUCCAGAAUAGCUCAUUCCCUCGAAAGUUGGCACGAGGGUUUCCAUAUGGAUUGAUCUUCCUCCGAGCGAUGAACUCAGCAAGUGGUAUCUCAUCCAUACCCAUGGCAGGUUCCUUCUCUUUGGUGGCGGUGGUCUUGGUUCUGCGUUGGGGGGCAUUGGAGCCCUCUGCUGCCUCUGAGUUGCGCAUAGGCUUGGAUCCCAUGUUACGGCUUGGAUUGGAGCGGCGAGCCGGAGCACUUGAGCCACCACCUAAAACACACACCACAAAACAAACACGCACGAAACGCGAGAAGGAUCAAUGCAAAGACCACAAAAAAUGGGUGAAACAAGUAGACAUAGUACGUGAUAAGUGCCACAAGAGGGAUUUGAGACAACGGUAGUAGCCUGUGUUGCGCCACGUGUGGUAGUACCGCUCCGAGGAGCGGCAGUACCGGCGACGCGGUAGUACCGCACUAGCAGGGUGGUAGUACCGGACGCACGGUAGUACCACACCUGAAGAGCGGUAGUACUGCAUGGUUGCAGAUCCGUAAUGGCCAUGGAGAUCUGAGCACAACCGUGUCAACACGCGGUACUAUGGUCGAUCAAAUCCAUCACGGGACAACUAAAGCAAGUACCAUCACUACACAAAACCACUCUCCUAUACCCGACUCUUGCAAAGAUUUGGCCUAAAAUCUCACGAACAACUUGCAUCUCCCCAAGACCUAAAAACAACAAGACGAACAAGAAAAAGGAAGGGAUUGGGGAGAAACCUUGAUCCAUGGCAAGAGGGAGUGGUGGGGAAUGAUCCCACCGGUUGGAAUCCGAGGAGAGUGGCCGGAGAUGGAGAUCCGGCAAGGACCUCUGGCACCGUUCUUGAGUGAGAGAGAGAGACGGAGUGGGGAGAGAGACGAAUGGGUAUGGGGGAGUUAGAACUCCCCCUGCCCGUGUUUAACCCUCACACCCUUCGACUUUAGUACCGCUCCCCCAAGCGGCAUUAAUUUUUUUUGCCGUGCUGGGUGCGGAAGUACCGUGCACUCCUCACGCGGUAGUACCGCACGUCAUUGCGGUAGUACCGCCCGGGCGGAAGUACCGCACCGAGGCCGUAGUAUCGCUCCCCCAGGCGGCAGAAUUUUUUUUCUGCCGCGCUGGGUGCGGAAGUACCGCGCGCUCCCCUCGCGGUAGUACCGUGGCAGGCCGCAGUACCGUGAGCUCAAGAAAAAGCAGUUUCAACCAACCGAGAGAACAACGAAGCACUGAACCUUCAAGCGAAAGACCACACCAACGAGCUAAUACACAGGACACCACAAACACAAGCUCAGCACAAAGGAGGAGAAGCAAGAGACAACGCAGACCAAAACGAGACACAAACUCUCCAAGGAGAGGGCGGUGGCCGGAGCCACCUAUGUUUGAGUCAAUUGGUAUGGCACCGUGAAGAAUUAUCCUUGGGCCCAUGACCAAAACUCGUCUUUGAAGCACAAGAACCAUCAAAAUGGCUAAUGUGAAAGAGUUGAUCGUUUUAUGAAUAAUGGGGGAGGGAGAGUUUAUUGAGAGAACAACACUCCCCCUAUGUCCAUGCCUACACCUAGAUUAGACAAAACAAGUUGAGUGAGGUGGGGUGUGCAAGGGUUCAAGCAACAUUGCUCGAAUCAAUGAUAUUUAGCUCAUGCCUUAGCUCGCAAAAUCUUGCUUCAUCCAAAGGCUUCGUGAAAAUAUCUGCGAGGUUAUCAUGGGUGUUAACGUAGUUGAGCUCGAUCUCCCCUCACCUAAUGUGAUCCCGGAUGAAGUGAUACCGAAUCUCAAUAUGCUUCGUCUUGAAGUGUUGCACCGGGUUGAGAGAAAUCUUGAUGGCACUUUCAUUGUCACACCAAAGAGGCACUUUGUCACAAAUGACACCAUAAUCCUUUAAAGUUUGCCUCAUCCAUAAGAGUUGUGCACAACAACUACCGGCAGCCACAUACUCUACUUCCGUGGACGAGAGAGAUACGCAACUUUGCUUCUUGGAAGACCAACUCACCAAAGAGCAACUAAGAAAUUGGCACCCUCCGGAAGUGGACUUCCUAUCCACUUUGUUUCCCGCCCAAUUCGAGUCCAAAUAACCUACAAGCUUGGAGUUUGAUCCCCUUGGGUACCAUAAGCCAAAGUUUGGGGUAUGAGCCAAAUAUCGAAAGAUUUGCUUAACCGCCACAAAGUGACUUUCCUUAGGUGCGGCUUGAAACCAUGCACAAAUUCCCACACUCAACAUGAUAUCCGGUCUAGAUGCACAAAGGUAAAGCAAGGAGCCAAUCAUGGAGCGAUAUACCUUUUGAUCCACCGCUUUACCAUUGGGAUCAAUGUCAAGUUGGAACUUGGUGGGCAUGGGAGUGGAAGCCGGCUUGACAUCACUUAGCUUGAAUCUCUUGAGCAUGUCUUGAGUGUAUUUGGCUUGGUUGAUGAAGGUUCCUUCUAUCCUUUGCUUCACUUCGAACCCGAGAAUGAACUUCAACUCUUCCAUGGAAGACAUCUCGAACUUUGAGGUCAUGAGAGCGGCAAAUUCCUCAUUGAAAGCUUUGUUAGGGGAACCAAAGAUAAUAUCAUCAACAUAUAAUUGGCACACAAACAACUCCCCUUUGACCUUCUUAGUAAAAAGAGUGGGGUCGAUUAGCCCAACUUCAAAACCACGAUCUUGUAACAACUUGGUAAGGUAGUCAUACCACGCACGUGGGGCUUGUUUAAGGCCAUAGAGUGCCUUAUCGAGUUGAUACACAUGAUCGGGAAAGUAGGGAUCCUCGAACCCGGGGGGUUCUUGACAUAUACCAAUUCAUUAAUCGGACCAUUAAGGAAAGCACUCUUCGCAUCCAUUUGUUGUAACUUAAAGUUAUGAUGAGAAGCAUAUGCAAUCAACAUGCGAAUGGAUUCAAGACGAGCAACGGGGGCAAAGGUUUCACCGUAGUUGAUACCCUUGACUUGGGAGUAGCCUUGUGCUACCAAACGAGCCUUGUUGCGAAUGAUAAUCCCAUGAGCAUCUUGCUUGUUCUUGAAUAUCCACUUGGUUCCAAUGACAUUGUGGUUCUCCGUUGGCCUUGGCACCAAUCUCCACACUUUGUUGCGCUCGUAGUUGUUGAGUUCUUCAUGCAUGGCAUUGAGCCAAUCCGGAUCCUCGAGUGCCUCAUAGACCUUUUGGGGUUCAACACAAGAGACAAACGCGUGAUGUUCACAAUAGUUUGCUAAUUGUCUACGAGUGCUUACCCCCUUUCUUAAGCUUCCAAGCACAUUUGUCAUGAGAUGAUCCUUGGUGGAGAGCUUGGAAGCAAUCUUGGCGGCACGACGCUCCAAUUCCUCCUCGGGGGUGAGAUGAGGAGUGGUCACUUGAUCAUCUUGAGCGCCAUCUUGAGCUUGUUCUUGAUCUCGAGGAAGCUCUUGAUCUUGAACUUGCUCGGAGGAGAGAACUUGGCCUUGGGCAUCACUUGAUGUUACAACACCAUCUUGAGAUUGACCUUGCCCUUGGUCUUGUUCUUGAGGUUGAGGGCCUUCACUUUGUUCUUCAGAAGCGUGUGGGUCUUGGGUUGGUGAAGGUUCCACUUGAGUGGAACAUUGUCCUUCUCCUUCGGCCACAAGGGGUUCCUCAAUGGGUAGGAUAUGACCAACACACAUUCUUCUUAUGGCUUGGGGAGGAAUUUCAUCACCUACAUCACAAUUACCACUUUGCUCCACUUGGGAGCCGUUAUUCUCAUCAGACUCCACGUUACACGUUUCCUCAAUAAGUCUCGUGGACUUAUUGAGAACACGGUAAGCAUGAGAGUUUGUAGCAUAACCAACAAAUAUGCCCUCAUAAGCUCUAGCCUCAAAUUUAGACAAACGAACACCUUUCUUGAGAAUGAAACACUUACACCCAAACACCCGGGAGUACUUGAGGUUGGGCUUAUUACUGGUGAGUAUCUCAUAUGGAGUCUUGUUCAAGCCUUUGCGGAGGUAGAGCCGAUUAUAUGCAUGACACGCGGUGUUGAUGGCUUCGGCCCAAAAGUUGUAGGGAGACUUGAACUCCGCCAUAAUGGUCCUUGCCGCAUCCUGAUGACCCACGAGUAUAGGGGAUCUAUAGUAGUCCUUUCGAUAAGUAAGAGUGUCGAACCCAACGAGGUGCAGAAUGAAAUGAUAAGCGGUUUUCAGCAAGGUAUUCUCUGCAAGUACUGAAAUAAGUGGUAACAGAUAAUUUUGUGAUAAGGUAAAUUGUAACGAGCAACAAGUAACAAAAGUAAAUAAAGUGCAGCAAGGUGGCCCAAUCCUUUUUGUAGCAAAGGAUAAGCCAGAACAAACUCUUAUAAUAGGAAAAGCGCUCCCGAGGACACAUGGGAAUAUAGUCAAGCUAGUUUUCAUCAUGUUCAUAUGAUUCGCGUCGAUACUUUGAUAAUUCGAUAUGUGGGUGGACCGGUGCUUGGGUGCUGUUCUUACUUGAACAAGCAUCCCACUUAUGAUUAACCUCUAUUGCAAGCAUCCGCAACUACAACAAAAGUAUUAAGGUAAACCUAACCAUAGCAUGAAACAUGUGGAUCCAAAUCAGCCCCUUACGAAGCAACACAUAAACUAGGGUUUAAGCUUCUGUCACUCUAGCAACCCAUCAUCUACUUAUUACUUCCCAAUGCCUUCCUCUAGGCCCAAAUAAUGGUGAAGUGUUAUGUAGUCGACGUUCACAUAACACCACUAGAGGCUAGACAACAUACAUCUUAUCAAAAUAUCAAACGAAUACCAAAUUCACAUGACUACUCAUAGCAAGACUUCUCCCUUGUCCUCAGGGACAAACAUAAUUACUCACAAAGCAUAUUCAUGUUCAUAAUCAGAGGGGUAAUAAUAUGCAUAUAUGAUCUGAACAUAUGAUCUUCCACCAAAUAAACCAACUAGCAUCAACUACAAGGAGUAAUCAACACUACUAGCAACCUACUAGCACCAAUCCCAGACUUUGAGACAAGAAUUGGAUACAAGAGAUGAACUAGGGUUUGUAGAUGAGAUGGUGCUGGUGAAGAUGUUGAUGGAGAUUGCCCUCUCCCGAUGAGAGGAGCGUUGGUGAUGACGAUGGUGAUGAUUUCCCCCUCCCGGAGGGAAGUAUCCCCGGCAGGGUUCCGCCUCGUGGCGGCGGAGUCUCGUCCCGAAAAGUUCCUCCUGGUUUUUUUCUCAUCAAAAGACUUCAUAUAGGAGAAGAUGGGCGUCGGAGAGCCACCAGGGGGCCCACGAGGUAGGGGGGCAUGCCCUGGGGGGGGCACCCUCGUGAGCAGGGUGUGGGCCCCCUGGCCUUCAUCUUUGGUGAGGAUUUUUCUUUAUGUAUUUUAAGAUGUUCCGUGGAGUUUCAGGACUUUUGGAGUUGCGCAGAAUAGGUCUCUAAUAUUUGCUCCUUUUCCAGCCCAGAAUUCCAGCUGUCGGCAUUCUCCCUCCUUAUGUAAACCUUGUAAAAUAAGAGAGAAUAGCCAUAAGUAUUGUGACAUAAAGUGAAAUAACAGUCCAUAAUGCAAUAAAUAUCGAUAUAAAAGCAUGAUGCAAAAUGGAUGUAUCACAUCCAUCAACGUCCGGUUCUUCCUCUCCGCUACACCAUUUUGUUGAGGAGUAUAAGGUGUGGAAUAUUGAUGCUUGAUUCCCUCAUCACUCAAAAACUCAUCCAAGGUGUAGUUCUUGAACUCGGAGCCGUUGUCACUUCUUAUAGUCAAGAUCUUUGUAUUGUGUUGUCGUUGAGCUUCAUUUGCAAACUCGAUGACGAUUUGUUGGGUCUUGCUCUUCCUCUUGAAGAAAUAUACCCAAGUGUAUCUUGAAUAGUCAUCCACAAUCACCAAACAAUACUUUCUACCGCCAAGACUAUCAAAGGAUGGAGGCCCGAAGAGAUCCAAAUGAAGGAGCUCCAAAGGCCUCUUCGAGUAUAUGAUAGUCGUGGGAGGGUGAGCCUUCUCAUGUAGCUUUCCUUUGAUGCAAGCACUUAGAGGAAGAGGCAUCACCCCACUCGACGUUGGUGGGCAUGGAUGGAAUCUUUUGCACGUCCACCACCAAGUCCUUGCUUCCGGUCAUAUGAUUAGUAGCUCCCUGUCGAGCAACCAUGACCCCCCACUGGAAGCAAACGCCUACAAGAGAUCAAUGCUUGGUUUUAGGUACCCAUUUUGUAAUGGGCCCUUUGAUGUUAGUAACAAGGGUCUUAGGAACCCAAAUAGACCAUUCAAUGUACUCAUAAGGAGAACCAACAAAUUUGGCAUAAACAUGCCCAUCUCUAGCACGACACAACACAUAAGAAGGGUUAAAGUCACCGGCUUUGUUGGGAAUGGAAGCGUUGCCCUUCUUGGCACCACUACCCCUCACAGAGUUCUUCUACUUCUCCUUAGUAGCACCCUCUCCCUCCUUCACAAAGGUUUGCUUGAGGGGAGGAGGUCGUUUGGCCUUGUCAUUCUUGUUCUUGUUCUUGGACUUGGGCACGUACCCAAUCCCUUCCUUGGCCACAACUCCCUUUUGGUUGGUCAAAAGGUCGUUGAGGUUCUUCUCACCUUGUAUGCAAGACACAAGACCUUUCUCAAGUUGUACCUUUAGCUUAGCGUUCUCCUCAACAAGAUGCACAUGCUCGCAACAUGGGUUAGUAGCAUUUGCAUUAUCAAUUAACAUCAUACGAGGAAAAGUGGCUUUCUCCUUGGUUAGCUUUACUUGAAGUUGAUCAGGAGACUCUUUGAGGCUAGCAUGAGCACCCUUCAAGACCUUGUGAGCCUUUUCAAGUAGAUCAAACUCCUCUUUGAGUCUAGAAAGAUCAACCCCAAGCUUGGCCUUCUCGGAGUUUAGCACACAAGAGACAACAAGAGCAUGAUCAAAAUCUUUCUUUAACUUAGCGUGAUCGACGUUGUGUGACUCCUCAAGAGCCAAACGAAGACCACGCUCUUCCUCAAGAGCAUUGGAAAGAUCCGAAAUCUCAUCGGCAUAGUCACGACUAUGCCCCUCCAUCUUGAAGAUAGUAUCUUCAUGAGCCUCGAUCAUGUCAUUGGCUUCACCAACUUGUUCCAAGAGAGCAACAAAAUGCUUCUUGGAUUUACCCUUGAGUUUACCCAUAAAGGACUCAAACUCAUUUUCCUCCACAUUGUAUCCCUCAUGUUCAUCAAUGCAAUCCGUCAAGGAAGGAUUAUUAAUGAUGGUAGUUUUGAUGUUGGGGGUUACCUUGUUGGUGGCUUUAGCCAUGAGGCACUUGGCGGUGAUGUUCUCAUUGGGUGAGUUGAAGAGAGACACUUGUGGAGUUUUUGCAAUGGCUACAGAAGCCAUGGCAACCGACUCACCAUCUUCAUCAUCAUCAUCAUCAUCAUCCUCAUGGUACUCUUCUUGAACCACCAACGCCUUGUGAGGGAUCUUCUUGGGGAAGUUGCUCUUGUUGGGGAAGGACUUGGCUUUGUCCUUUCGGAUGAGCUUGCCACCAUUGUCUUCCCUCUUCUCAUACGGACAUUCCGCAACAAAAUGGCUCACAUUGCCACAAUUGUAGCAAGUCCUCACAUGUUGCUUGCUCUUCGUGCCACUUGAGUUGUUCUUGUUGAAGUUUGACCUUGAGUUCUUCUUGCUCCAAAAUUGCCUUGAAGCAAGUGCCAUGUGUUCAUGAUAGGUAUACUUUGUAUCUUCGGGGUUGCUUUCCUCUUCUUCCUCUUCUUCUUCUUCUUCAACACAAACCUUGGCCUUCAAUGCAAGGUUGGGCUUCUUUGCCCUUUGAGAGCGAAGCACCACAUUAUCGGCGGUCUUGUCCAAGAUGUUCAUAGCAACAAACUCAUCCAACACUUCACUUGAGGUCGAAGUGUGGAAGUCGGGCCUUUGACGAAUGACAGAGGACAUGGCCUUGUGGUAAGGCAUCAUUGCUUUGAGGAAUUUGCGCUUGAUCCAAUUGUCAUCCAUGUCCUUGAUCCCAUGAUCUCCGAGUGAGACUGCAAGUUUGGUUACUCUCCGAUAAAGCUCACGAGGUUCUUCAUCUUCUUUCAUAGCAAACUCAUCGGCUUCAUCUUGCACUACUUCAUAGUUGGAGCGUUGAAUGCUUGCGCUUCCUCGGUAGAGAGAGACAACACAAAGCCAUGCAUCUUUGGCCAAGGAGAAUGGCCGAAGAUGAGGUAGAUCUUCGGGUGGAAUUGCAUCUUGGAUGAUGAAGAGAGCAUUCUCAUUGAAUUGAUUAUCCGCGGCUUCUCAAGGAGUGAAGUUGCUUGGGUCAUGCGGAUAGAAACCUUCUUCAAUGAUUCUCCAAAGAUUAGUAUUCACAUGAUUUAAAUGACGCUUAAAGCGAUAAACCCAAGAAUCAAAGUCCUCAUUUUUCACAAUCUUAGGGGAGGACAGGCAUGAUUCAAAUGAGUGGAAGGAACCGGUCCACCAUAAACAAGUGUGGUACCACAUGGGCAAAGAUGCCGGUGCCAUUUUUACCACUAGAAGAAGGAGCCUUUUCACUCCUGCUUCCCCCUUGUCGGAGUUAGAAUCCGUCACCUUGUCGGUGGGAUCACCCACUUUCAACGGUGCGGUGGAUAGUUUAAGCCCUUCAAUGAAUUUGGUAAACAUGCUUUCAACCUCGGUCGUCAUGGAGGUUUUCAAUGUCUCCAAGGCCACAUUGAAUUCCUCACGAGAGACCGAUGUUCCCCCAUCGCCCGUAGACGAGAUCAAAUUCACACCGGAGUGUUCCUCCACACUGUCUACGGUAUCAACCAUACUCUUCGGAUGGUAAAGUCCUUAGUAAAGAGACGAGGCUCUGAUACCAAUUGAAAGGAUCGAUAUGGUUGACUAGAGGGGGGGUGAAUAGGCAAGCGCUAUCGUUUAACACCCCUGCUAGGCAUGAUGAUUUCAAUGAUGCUCACAUAAAAGAUAAGAAUUGAAACAUAAAAAGAGCAUCAUGAAGAAUAUGACUAGCACAUUUAAGUAUAAUUGUCGGUGUCAAAACCGGCGGAUCUCGGGUAGGGGGUCCUGAACUGUGCGUCUAGGCCGGAUGGUAACAGGAAACAAGGGACACGAAGUUUUACCCAGGUUCGGGCCCUCUCGAUGGAGGUAAAACCCUACGUCCUGCUUGAUUAAUAUUGAUGAUAUGGGUAGUACAAGAGUAGAUCUACCACGAGAUCGGAGAGGCUAAACCCUAGAAGCUAGCCUAUGGUAUGAUUGUUGAUGUGUAUGUUGUCCUACGGACUAAAACCCUCCAGUUUAUAUAGAUACCGGAGAGGGUUAGGGUUACACAAAGUCGGUUACAAUGGUAGGAGAUCUGCAUAUCCGUAUCGCCAAGCUUGCCUUCCACGCCAAGAAAAGUCCCUUCCGCACACGGGACGAAGUCUUCAAUCUUGUAUCUUCAUAGUCCAGGAGUCCGGCUGGAGGUACAGUUCGGCCAUCCGGACACCCCCUAAUCCAGGACUCACUCAGUAGCCCCUAAACCAGGCUUCAAUGACGAUGAGUCCGGCGCGCAGAUUGUCUUCGGCAUUGCAAGGCGGGUUCCUCCUCCAAGUACUUCAUAGAAGAUUUUGAACACAGAGAUAGUGUCCGGCUCUGCAAAAUUAGUUUCAUAUAUUGCCAUAGAGAGAAUAACAUUUACACAAAUCUAAUCUGCUGACGUAUUCCGUAGUGUGACACACCACGACCAAGCCUUUAUCCGAGUCGUUUCAUUAUCCCACCUCAGCACGUCAUGCGAGGCGGUUUCCUUGGCACGUCUUGUUAAAGCAGAGAUCGUGUCCCCUUAUUCCGGGAUUCUCAUCAAUACAGGCGUGGGUAACCCAACCGCUUCUAGGACUCCUAGAUUAUAGGCAAGUCCAAACGGACACAGAGAGGAUGCUUGAUAUUCACCCUCUUUAUAAAGGGACAAGGCUUUUAUUUUUCCCUCCUGUGUUCAAUCGAAUCCUUCCCCCACCUCAAGCUUAAACGCCCGAAGCUCAGGUCAAGUGCCCCGAACCUUCAGUCAUGUCCGGAUCUAGCCUUCAAGGCCGAUGGAUGCCUUCCUCCGUCAUGGAAGAAGACAUCAAAAAGUUGAGGGAGGCCAGAUAUCUGACCGCCGAGAUUUUGCAUCGGCUGCCUCCCCGAGGGCAGGCUGUCCCCACCCCCGAACCCAACGAGAACGUCGUCACUUCCUCUGAGGUCUAGGCCUUGCUCUGGAUCUUUCGUAAGGGGUUUGAUGUUUUACUACGGGCUAGACUUACAUGAUCUAGCUCCGGACUCCUUUCUUCAUAUCACAACAUUUAUUGUCGUGUGCGAGGCCUUCCUUCGAGUUACCCCUCACUUUGGCCUAUGGCUCAAGACCUUUGAAGUGAAGCCGGAGAUGAUCGAGGGGCAACAUGCAGCGUCUGGAGGUGCCUCAAUACGCAAGAUGAUAGGAGCUCCGUGGCCCAAAGGUUCCAUCCCAGAGGUGUCUGAAUUGUGGCAACAGGAGUGGUUCUACAUCACGGCUCCCAGAAGUGCCAAGUGGGCGGCCCUCCCAUUUUCCGCUCGGCCCCUCCACCACAGCUGAUGUCAUGGAUCAGCAGAGGUCAGAGCUAGGGUCCAGCCAAGGAUGUGCCUAUACUGCAAGGUUGCAUUCGAGAUCUCUUCAAUGGAGAUUUCAGUUUGGUUGCGGUAAUAUAGGUUAUGCUGGUUCGUCAAGUCCAGCCUUGCAAACGCCGGCCUCUUCGCCUGUGGGAGUUCAAUCCCGAGGGACCGCGUGUCAUUCAAAAUUUCCUUGGCCUGACGCACGAGGAGAUGUACAAGUCAUUCUUCGGACCUUAGGUAGAGUGUCCGGAAAUCACCGAGGACGUGGGCCUGAGCAGUAACCGCGCUGCCGAACAGGUAAGGAAUCUUCCGGCCGAACAUACUAUCUCUCAUUUGUUACGAAGUUAUUUCUGAGAGUUCGCUUUUUGACCAGGACUGGCUAACAAAGGCGAAGUUGAUUCGGUGUUCGGCUCCCCUCCCUGAGGGUUUGGACAAUCCGGUAUUGGAAAAGAUGCUCCAGGUCGCACCUUGCCCGGAGCCCUCGAAGGAAGAUACUGGGGAGGAUAAUACAGGCGGACGCGGGCCCCCAACGCUGCCCAUUCUAACCGAGGGAGCGAGCGUCCCCAUGAAGGAAGACAACCGGAGGAGGAAAAGGACUGCGCCCGAGGAUUCGGAAGCCGAAGCUUCCAAACGGGAGAAGAAGUCUCCCACAGAGGGUCCUACCUUGGAGGGUGCUUUUGCCGCACAAAGUCCACGGGGGGAUCAAUUCUCCAGCGAGUCGUAAGUGACCUGAAAUACUUUAAUAGUACAGGUAUGCCAUCUUUUUCUUCUAAGAAAAUAACCACCGCAUAUAUUUUUGCAGUUCGGGCCUUAGCCCCUCUCAAAUGAGCUCGUCUUCGGGGGAUCUUCUUCCAGAGAUGAUGGAGAGCGAAACGCCUCCUCCGGACUCCUCCGCUCCAGAAGCGGGCGACCCUGAAGUGUCGUCGCGGAGGGACUCUCUGAGUCCGGUGAGGCCAGAAGAUAAUCCCAUUGACCCCCGAAGCUCCCAGUGUCCGGCUCCCGAAGAGAGCAGACAAAAGAGUCCGGCACCGUCUAGUGUGUGAUCGGAUGUUCUGAGGGAGUUGGUGGGGCGAGCGGCCAUCUCAGAUGAACACCGUGUGCUGAUGAAAAUGGUGAUGGAGAGAAUAUCGCCUGCUGAAAGCGGAUUGCAUGAAGCUUUUAUGAGUCUACUGACAGGCUUUGAGGUACGUAAAAGAAUGUAUGAUAGUCCUGCACAUGCUCGGUGUGCCCUGUGUAGAUAGUAGCCCCUGAGACUCUGGUUGUCGUUGGAAACGACGACGAAUAGAGGAUCAUAUUCCCAGGUAAUAACCAUACUGCCUCUAUGUGCAGGUGAUGGAAGCUCCGGUGGCUAGCCGAACUAGCGAGUUUGCCCAUUUAGAACGGCAGUUGGAUGCGGCAGACGCCGACAUCGAGCUUGUUAACAAAAGGCUUGACGAGGCAUAGGGUAAGUGUCAUUAUCUGGUAAACGCCACAUAGGAAGAGCAGCAUGAUGCCAGUAUCUUUAAUAUGUUGUGACUGCAGAUGAAGCUGCCACUGUUGAAGCCUUGCGGGCAGAACUUGCCCGAGCCAAGGAACAAGCGAGGUUGGUAAUGCGGCUGCUGUGAAGGCGGCCGAAGAGUUGCAAGCCGAGAAGGCCGCGCAUGGAGAGACCCGAGACAAGAUGGCCAAGAUGGCUAUAGAAUUAAAAGCCGCCGCCGACCGUUGCCGGGUUCUUGAAAAGGAAAACCAAGCGAAGGCAUCAGACCUUGAGAAGGCUGCUGCGACGAAAAAGGACCUUCGCUCUGCUAUGAGGGCAAAGAAGGAGGAGCUGUGGGAAGCCGGGGAUAUUGUAGCUGGGAAAUCCUUUAUGUUGCGGAGGAAGUUCGGAGAUCCACGGUAUGCCUCUUUGGAUCGGCUGUGGAGUUCGGAGGAUGUAUAUAUGGAUUUGACGGCGAGCGCUGCUGAUGCGGCCAAGUAUUUCCAGGGUCAGACGGACUGUGAAGUAGACCAGCUAUUUUGGAGACAAUUCCAUUCUCCCGAGCAUCCGCUUUCAUUUACUGACCAAUUAGCCGAAUGAGCCAAACUAAAUAGGUUGUCCGGACUCUCCAUGAGGUCAGUUGUGGACCAGCUGUGGCCGGAAAGGUCAAAACCGAACAACUAUUUUAGCUUGGUGCAGCAGUUCCUUGACGUGGUGCCGCGCAUAAAUGCGAUGAAGAAGUCGGCGUGCAUAGAAGGCGCAUGGAUGGCCUUUGCCCGUGUUAAAGCAUACUGGGCGGAGAUGGAUGGUACCACUGUUGCAACGCAGGAUUCGGCCAUAGGUCGAAGGGCUGCUGAGCACUACAAUGAAGAAGUUCUUGAGGGUGCUCGUUUGAUAGAGACCCAGUGCUAAAAAAAUAUUAUGCUUGAGUGAUAUUUAAUCUCAUUGUAAGCGAAAUGCUUUUAUAAAUUUUUAUAAGGCUAUUUUUAUACUUUUUCCUGAAAGUAAUAUGAUGCCUCCUGGGCGGCCGUUUAUGUAUACACAUGUAUAACCUGAAAGAUUGCAGCCGUCGGCUUCAACCCUCACGCAUAUAAUGCGGAGGUGCUCGCAAAAACACGCAUUCACACUUAACCCAACGUCUUGGUUCUAUUAAGGAGGUGAUAGCGGAGCGAGCGAGGCAACUGGACUAUAAUGCUUUAGCACUUUCACUUAGCCAUAGGAGUUUGACAGUGGGGCUACUAGAUAGCCCCUGGUGGCUCUGCACUCUCCCGAUCUCGGGGUGCGUACAUGCCUGGCCGGAAAACGACCCUUCAUUAAGGCGGAGGAAUACUAACAUUCCCAUAGGUCAUCGAGUGGUUGACCAGUCUCACGCUAUAUCAUGACAGUCAGUUUUCGGCUUUCUCUACUGAGGUGCUCGUCCGAAUGAACCAGGGCACAAUCGCAGUAGUUCUCCUGGUGCUACCUUAGCUAGUAAAGCGGAACGUAAGGCACCAAAACACAGGAGCCGGGCAAACCCAACAUUUGACCAAAGACAAUGAUUCGGAGCUGAUGCAUAUAGGGCCAAACUCGUGACGCCGAACACUCCCUAAGGUGUUCGGUCUUUGUGGUAUAAACCGGGCCUAAAUAAUGGCCUUUGUAAGAAGCCCCUUGUGUCCAGGUACGUGCAUUGUUCUGGCGUGGCCACAUGCCAAGACGCCAGCAUCCUUCUCAACGGUGGAUAUGUAUCAACAAGAGACAGUAAAAAGGUUUACGCAGGGUCUUAAUCUAAAAAGAAUCCUUGGAGCGGGUCCCUGUUGCACGUCUGCGCCUGUGUCUCUAUUGUGCCGUAUCCUGGACGGGUGUAGCAUGAUGAUCGUCUGUAAAAGAGAGGAGUUUAGGUGAAAAAGUUGUCGUGCAAAAAGAUAGUUUGUUAAAUAAACCAUGUAUAAUUCAAGAUGAGAAGAAAUUGCCACUUGUCUGCGCGUGUUGAGCCCCUUGUAUUGACGAAUAGGGGUGUGACCGUUUAUUCGGUAUAAGUAGCGGCGCCGGACUCGAUUAGUUGUGUCUGAGGUCUUGACGACCUAUUGGACGCUUUCUGGUCCGGGCGCCUUUAGUGUGCGGCUGCCAAGGCAGCCUCACUCACUUCGGCGCACAGAGAUCGCUUGAUAUUUCCGUGCACUGUAAUGAUGCCACGUGGACCGGGCAUCUUGAGUUUGAGGGAGGCGUAGUGUGGUAUUGCAUUAAAGCGAAUGAAAGCUUCGCGUCCGAGCAGUGCUUGAUAGCCACUUUGAAAUGGAGCGAUGUGGAAAGUUAAAUGCCCACGACGGAAGUUAUCGGGGGAGCCGAAUAUAACUUGUAGUAGGAGGGAGCCCGUACAACGAGCCCCUGGGCCUGGCGUUACUCCUUUAAAGGUAGUAUUGCUAUGGCGAAUUUGUGUUGGGUCUAACCCCAUCCCGCGGAUUGUAUCCUGAUAUAUUAGGUUUAGGCUACUGCCGCCGUCCCUCAAGACUCUUGUGAAGUGAUAUCCACCAAUUACUGGGUCUAAUACCAGGGCAGCCCAUCCUACGUGUCGGAUACUUGCUGAGUAAUCGCGAUGGUCGAAAGUGAUCGGUUGAGAUGAUCAGUGGCAGGACUUCGUGGUGACAAGCACUUGGGUGUAUUUUCCUGGGAGUGCCGCGUUGUUUUUUCCCUUGAUUACGUGUAACACGUUUACUGUUUUGACUUGUGGUGGAAAUUUCUUUUGUUCCCCCGUGUCUUGCUUGGGGGGCUCGUCCUCGUCUUCACUUGGUGUAUCCUCCCCCUUGUGUACGGUGUUGAGCUUGUCGGACUACUUGAAGACCCAACAUUCUCUGUGGGUAUGAUUAGCAGGUUUACCAGGGGUACUAUGAAUCUGACAUACUUGGUCCAGGAUUUUGUUGAGGCUGGACAAUUCAUCCCUGGUGCCUUUAGGGGGCGGCUUUUGACCUGGUAGAGAGCUUUUGAAUCCGGCAUUUACCGCCGUGCCCUUUGUGCUGUCUUCUUUAUUCCGGCGUUUGUUAUUGCUGUUGCGCCGUGAUUUCCCGUUUCCAUCUCUAACUUCAGAUGUACUGGGGUCGCUGGUGCUGCAUCUGGCUAGCCAGCUGUCCUCACCCGCGCAAAAGCGGGUCAUGAGGUUUGUUAAUGCGGCCAUCGUUCUCGGCUUAUUUUGGCCGAGGUAUCUGGCGAGCCAUUCGUCACGGACGCUAUGCUUGAAAGCUGCUAAGGCUUCGGCGUCCGGACAGUCGACAAUCUGGUUCUUUUUAGUAAGAAACCUGUUCCAAAGCUUUCGGACUGACUCUUUGGGCUGUUGAGUUAUAUGACUCAAAUCGUCCGCAUCCGGAGGUCGGACAUAAGUCCCUUGAAAAUUGGCCCGAAAGGCGUCUUCGAGCUCUUCCCAACUUCCAAUGGAGCUUUCGGGGAGGCCUUUGAGCCAGUGAUGAGCUAGCCCUUUUGAGCUUGAGGGGCAAGUACUUGAUGGUGUGGAGAUCAUCUCCUCGAGCCAUAUGGAUGUGAAGGAUGUAGUCCUCAAUCCAGACCCCAGGGUCUGUUGUUCCAUCAUAUGCCUCUAUGUUUACGGGCUUGAAUCCCUCUAGAAAUUCAUGGUCCAGCACCUCAUCGGUGAAACAUAGGGUGUGUGCGGCACCCCUGUAGCUGGGUGUACUGCGUUGUUCGGAUGUUUGUUGUGUUGCAUUGUAUGUCGGGGCGCGCUUGCGUGGUCCAUAGAUGGAUCUUGUUGCGCCAUCCUUUGGGUGCGAGCCCUCGCAUGGGUCGCGUAUUGUAUUGUGAGCGGCGUUGUGUGCCGCUCUGUGUCGGUAGAGGGGUCCUCUAUCCGACCAGGUGGCUGCUUUGAUAUUUGGUUGUGGGGGUUCUGAGGCCUCCUCAUCGAAUUCGGGUAGCAGCUUCCGCUUCGGGUAGCUCUUGGAGGGGCGAUUGUCGCCGUACCUUGCUGCAGUGUUGAGUAUUUUACUCCAUCUGAUUUGGAGUGUGUCUUGCGCGGCCUUGAGCCUUUGCUUCUGCUUUUUCAGACUCCUCGCAGUGGCAACAAGCCUUUUAUGGGCAGUCUGCUGCUCCGGGUGUUUGUCCGGCGUUAUGUCGUCCGGACCAUUAUCCUUGAGAGGAUUUGGUUGUUUGGUUUGAUUAUCCGGAUUGCCGUUGUCCGGCAGCGGUUCGCCCUGCUCCAGCGCUGGGUCUGUGUGAUCGCUAUUUCUAUCGAGGCGGGAUUUGGGGCGGCGCUUGCGUAGCUGCUUUGGCUGCUUUUCGAGGGAACAAGCCUUCAGUGCGUCCUUCCGCUCCUCGUCGUCAUCUUUUGGUGCGUCCACCAUGUAUACGUCGUAUGACGAGGUGGUGUUCCAGGGCCCAAUAGGCGCUGGUUCUUCAUCGUCUCCUUCAUCGGCGUCCAUACCGUUGAUGUCUUCAGAGCCGAAGUCGAGCAUGUCGGUUAAAUCGUCGACAGUGGCUUCAAAGUGGGUGGUGGGUGGGCUUUGAAUUUCUUCAUCGCCCGAAUCCCAACCUUGCUGACCGUAGUCCAGCUAGGGCUCUCCUGAUAAAGAGAGAGAUUUCAGUGUCUUCAGAAUAUCGCCGAAAGGCGAGUGCUGAAAGAUGUCCGCGACAGUAAACUCCAUAGUCGGCGCCCAAUCGGAUUCGAUCGGCAGGGGCGCGGAGGGUUCGGAGUCCGGAGAGGAGUCCGGCUCCUUGGAGUCACGAGUCUCGCAGAGUGUGGGGCUGGUGUUCGGCUCGAUCGCCGUUGGGAUCGCAGCCCCCGAGGCGGCGUCCAACCACCCAUCCUCGAUCGGCGCAGUUGGCUCCGAAUUAAGGAUCGAAGCCGAUGCGGGUGCGGCCUCCAGGGCACUGUUCGGCGGUGGAGCUAGAUCAUGCUCGUCGUGACAGUGCGGAGCGCUCGGCAGUGGUUCGAAUCCAUCGAAGAUCAAGUCCCCACGGAUGUUAGCCGUGUAGUUUAAACUUCCAAAUCUGACCUGACGGCCAGGGGCGUAGCUUUCGAUCUGCUCCAGAUGGCCAAGUGAAUUGGCCCGCAGUGCGAAGCCGCCGAAGACGAAGAUCUGUCCGGGGAGGAAGGUUUCACCCUGGACUGCAUCGCUAUUGAUGAUCGUAGGAGCCAUCGAGCCUGACGGCGACGACACAGAGGAACUCUCAAUGAAAGCACCAAUGUCGGUGUCAAAACCGGCGGAUCUCGGGUAGGAGGUCCCGAACUGUGCGUCUAGGCCGGAUGGUAAGAGGAAACAAGGGACACGAAGUUUUACCCAGGUUCGGGCCCUCUCGAUGGAGGUAAAACCCUACGUCCUGCUUGAUUAAUAUUGAUGAUAUGGGUAGUACAAGAGUAGAUCUACCACGAGAUCGGAGAGGCUAAACCCUAGAAGCUAGCCUAUGGUAUGAUUGUUGAUGUGUAUGUUGUCCUACGGACUAAAACCCUCCGGUUUAUAUAGACACCGGAGAGGGUUAGGGUUACACAAAGUCGGUUACAAUGGUAGGAGAUCUGCAUAUCCGUAUUGCCAAGCUUGCCUUCCAAAUAACCCUCUCUCAAAUAACCUAUGGGAGGCGUAGGAUGAAGAUGGUCUCUCCCAAAUAACCCUACAACCAAAUAACAAAGAGUCUCUUGUGUCCCCAACACACCCAAUACAAUGGUGAAUUGUAUAGGUGCACUAGUUCGGCGAAGAGAUGGUGAUACAAGUGCAAUAUGGAUGGUAGAUAUAGGUUUUUGUAAUCUGAAAAUAUAAAAACAGCAAGGUAACCAAUGAUAAAAGUGAGCAAAAAUGGUAUUGCAAUGUGUUGAAACAAGGCCUAAGGUUCAUACUUUCACUAGUGCAAGUCCUCUCAACAAUAUUAACAUAAUUGGAUCAUAUAACUAUCCCUCAACAUGCAACAAAGAGUCACUCCAAAGUCACUAAUAGCGGAGAACAAACAAAGAGAUUAUUGUACGGUACGAAACCACCUCAAAGUUAUCCUUUCUGAUCGAUCUAUUCAAGAGUCCGUAGUAAAAUAACACGAAGCUAUUCUUUCCGUUCAAUCUAUCCUAGAGUUCGUACUAGAAUAACACCUUAAGACACAAAUCAACCAAAACCCUAAUGUCACCUAGAUACUCCAAUGUCACCUCAAGUAUCCGUGGGUAUGAUUAUACGAUAUGCAUCACACAAUCUCAGAUUCAUCUAUUCAACCAACACAAAGAACUUCAAAGAGUGCUCCAAAGUUUCUACCGGAGAGUCAAGACGAAAACAUGUGCCAACCCCUAUGCAUAAGUUCACAAGGUCACGGAACUCGCAAGUUGAUCACCAAAACAUACAUCAAGUGGAUCACGUGAUAUCCCAUUGUCACCACAGAUAAGCACAUGCAAGACAUACAUCAAGUGUUCUCAAAUCCUUAAAGACUCAAUCCGAUAAGAUAACUUCAAAGGGAAAACUCAAUCCAUUACAAGAGAGUAGAGAGGGAGAAACAUCAUAAGAUCCAACUAUAAUAGCAAAGCUCGCGAUACAUCAAGAUCGUGCGAUAUCAAGAACACGAGAGAGAGAGAGAGAGAGAGAGAGAGAGAUCAAACACAUAGCUACUGGUACAUACCCUCAGCCCCGAGGGUGAACUACUCCCUCCUCGUCAUGGAGAGUGCCGGGAUGAUGAAGAUGGCCACCGGAGAGGGAUUUCCCCCUCCAACAGGGUGCCGGAACGGGUCUAGAUUGGUUUUCGGUGGCUACAGAGGCUUGCGGCGGCGGAACUCAUUAUCUAGGUUUCUUUCUGGAAGUUUUGGGUUAUAUAAGAGGUGUUGGAGUCGAGAACAAGUCAGGGGGGUCUCCGGGCUGUCCACGAGGUAGGGAGGCGCGCCCAGGGGGGCGCCCCCACCCUCGUGGGCAGCCCGGGACUCUUAUGGUCCAACACUUUUACUCCAUGGCCUUCUUCUGGUCCAAAAAUAAGUUCAUGAAGUUUCAGGUCAAUUGGACUCCGUUUGAUUUUCCUUUCCUGUAAAACUCAAAAACAAUGAAAAAAUAGAAACUGGCACUGGGCUCUAGGUUAAUAGGUUAGUCCCAAAAAUCAUAUAAAAUAGCAUAUAAAUGCAUAUAAAACAUCCAAGGUUGAUAAUAUAAUAGCAUGGAACAAUCAAAAAUUAUAGAUACGUUGGAGACGUAUCAAAGAACAAAAUCGGUAAUGAGAGCAACGAUAUAGUGGGCAUGAUUAUGACUCAGGAGGAUACCGAUGCACGCCGAAUUUUGUAAAGUAUCGCGAAGUAAAGGGAACAUUGAUACAUCUCCAACGUAUCUAUAAUUUAUGAAGUAUUCAUGCUAUUAUAUUACCUGUUUUAGAUGUUUAUGGGCUUUACUAAACACUUUUAUAUUAUUUUUGAGACUAACCUAUUAACCGGAGGCCCAUCCCAAAUUGCUGUUUUCUUGCCUAUUUUAGUGUUUCGAAGAAAAGGAAUAUCAAAUGGAGUCCAAACGGAAUGACACGUUCGGGAGAGUUAUUUUUGGAACGGAAGCAAUCCAGGAGACUUGGAGUAGACGUCAGGGAAGCUUCGAGGAAGCCACGAGGCAAGGAGGCACGCCCUACCCCCCUGGGCGCCCCCCUUGUGGGCCCCUUGUGGCUCCCCUGACCGACUUCUUUCGCCUAUAUAUGUCCAUAUACGCUAAAAACAUCAGAGAGCACAAUAGAUCAGGAGUUCCGAUGCCAGAAGCCUCCGUAGCCACCGAAAACCAAUGUAGACCCUUUCCGGCACCCUGCUGGAGGGGGGAAUCCCUCUCGGGUGGCCAUCUUCAUCAUACCGGUGCUCUCCAUGACAAGGAGGGAGUAGUUCAGCCUCGGGGCUGAGGGUAUGUACCAAUAACUAUGUGUUUGAUCUCUCUCUCUCUCAUGUUCUUGAGUCGGCACGAUCUUGAUGUAUCGCGAGCUUUGCUAUUAUAGUUGGAUAUUAUGAUGUUUCUCCCCCUCUACUCUCUCUUGAUGAAUUGAGUUUUCCCUUUGAAGUUAUCUUAUCAGAUUGAGUCUUUAAUGAUUUGAGAACACUUGAUGUAUGUCUUGCAUGUGCUUAUCUGUGGUGACAAUGGGAUAUCAUGUGAUCCACUUGAUGUAUGUUAUGGUGAUCAACUUGCGAGUUCCGUGACCUCGUGAACUUAUGCAUAGGGGUUGGCACACGCUUUCGUCUUAACUCUCCAGUAGAAGCUUUGGGGCACUCUUUGAAGUUCUUUGUGUUGGUUGAAUAGAUGAAUCUGAGAUUGUGUGAUGCAUAUCUUAUAAUCAUACCCACUGAUACUUGAGGUGACAUUAGGGUUUUGGUUGAUUUGUGUCUUAAGGUGUUAUUCUAGUACGAACUCUAGGAUAGAUUGAACGGAUAAUAGCUUCGUGUUAUUUUACUACAGACUCUUGAAUAGAUCGAUCAGAAAGGAUAACUUUGAGGUGGUUUCGUACCCUACCAUAAUCUCUUCGUUUGUUCUCUGCUAUUAUUGACUUUGGAGUGACUCUUUGUUGCAUGUUGAGGGAUAGUUAUAUCAUCCAAUUAUGUUAUUAUUGUUGAGAGAACUUGCACUAGUGAAAGUAUGAACCCUAGGCCUUGUUUCCUAGCAUUGCAAUACCAUUUACGCUCACUUUUAUCAUUAGUUACCUUGCUGUUUUUAUAUUUUCAGAUUACAAAUACUCAUAUCUAUCAUCCAUAUUGCACUUGUAUCACCAUCUCUUCGCCGAACUAGUUGAUACGUCUCCAACGUAUCUAUAAUUUUUGAUUGCUACAUGCUAUAUUAUCUACUGUUUUGGACAUUAUUGGGCUUUAUUAUCCACUUUUAUAUUAUUUUUGGGACUAACCUAUUAACCGGAGGCCCAACCCAGAAUUGCUAUUUUUUUGCCUGUUUUAGGGUUUCGAAGAAAAGGAAUAUCAAAUGGAGUCCAAAUGGAAUGAAACCUUUGGGAAUGUGAUUUUCUUAUCAAAUACAACUCAGGAGACUUGGACCCUACAUCAAGACACGUAACAGGAGGCCACGAGGUAGGGGGGCGCGCCUACCCCCCCAGGCGCGCCCUCCACCGUCAUGGGCCCCCUGUUGCUCCACCGACGUACUUCUUCCUCCUAUAUAUACCCACGUACCACCAAACGAUCAGAGAUGGAGCCAAAACCCUAAUUCCACCGCCUUAACUUUUUGUAUCCACAAGAUCCCAUCUUGGGGCCUCUUCCGGAGCUCCGCCGGAGGGGGCAUCGAUCACGGAGGGCUUCUUCAUCAACACCAUAGCCCCUCCGAUGAAAUGUGAGUAGUUUACCUCAGACCUACGAGUCCAUAGUUAGUAGCUAGAUGGCUUCUUCUCUCUUUUUGGAUCUCAAUACAAUGUUCUCCCCCUCUCUUGUGGAGAUCUAUUCGAUGUAAUCUUCCUUCUGCGGUGUGUUUGUUGAGACCGAUGAAUUGUGGGUUUAUGAUCAAGUCUAUCUAUGAAUAAUAUUUGAAUCUUCUCUGAAUUCUUUUAUGUAUGAUUGGUUAUCUUUGCAAGUCUCUUCGAAUUAUCAGUUUGGUUUGGCCUACUAGAUUGAUCUUUCUUGCAAUGGGAGAAGUGCUUAGCUUUGGGUUCAAUCUUACGGUGUCCUUUCCCGAUGACAGUAAUGGCAGCAAGGCACAUAUUGUAUUGUUGCCAUCGAGGAUAACAACAUGGGGUUUUCAUCAUAUUGCAUGAGUUUAUCCCUCUACAUCAUGUCAUCUUGCUUAAGGCGUUAAUCUGUUUUCAUUAACUUAAUACUCUAGAUGCAUGCUGGAUAGCGGUCGAUGAGUGGAGUAAUAGUAGUAGAUGCAGGCAGGAGUCGGUCUACUUGUCUCGGACGUGAUGCCUAUAUACAUGAUCAUACCUAGAUAUUCUCAUAACUAUGCUCAAUUCUGUCAAUUGCUCAACAAUAAUUUGUUCACCCACCAUAGAAUACUUAUGCUCUCGAGAGAAGCCACUAGUGAAACCUAUGGCCCCCGGGUCUAUCUUCAUCAUAUUAAUCUCCCAAUACUUAGUUAUUUCCUUUGAUUUUACUUUGAUUUUAUUUUACUUUGCAUCUUUACCACAAAAAUACCAAAAAUAUAAUCUUAUCAUAUCUAUCAGAUCUCACUCUCGUAAGUGGCCCUAUAGGUAUUGACAACCCCUAUUUGCGUUGGUUUCCAAGGAUUUAUUUGUUUUGUGCAGGUGCGAGGGACUCGCGCGUAGCCUCCUACUGGAUUGAUACCUUGGUUCUCAAAAACUGAGGGAAAUACUUACGCUACUUUGCUGCAUCAUCCCUUCCUCUUCGGGGAAAACCAACACAGCUCACGAGAUUUUCUACUUUAAGUUUUGUGUUGUGAAUAAAGAAUGAAUUCAUUACAGUACCUUGAACUGGUCUUUUGUUUUCUUUCACUAAUGGAGCUCACGAGAUUUUCUACUUUAUGUUUUGUGUUGUGAUGUUUUCAAGUUUUGGGUAAAGAUUUGAUAGAUUAUGGAACAAGGAGUGGCAAGAGCCUAAGCUUGGGGAUGCCCAUGGAACCCCCAAGAUAAUCUAAUGACACCUAAAAGCCAAAUCUUGGGGGUGCCCUGGAAGGCAUCCCCUCUUUCGUCUACUUCUAUCGGUAAGUUUACUUGGAGCUAUAUUUUUAUUCGCCACAUGAUAUGUGUUUUGCUUGGAGCGUCUUGUAUGAUUUGAGUCUUUGCUUGUUAGUUUACCACAAUCAUCCUUGCUGUACACACCUUUUGAGAGAGCCAUACAUGAUUUGGAAUUUAUUAGAAUACUCUAUGUGCUUCGCUUAUAUCUUUUGAGUUAUAUAAUUUUGCUCUAGUGCUUCACUUAUAUCUUUUAGAGCACGGUGGUGGAUUUGUUUUAUAGAAAUUAUUGAUCUCUCAUGCUUCACUUAGAUUAUUUUGAGAGUCUUAAUAGCAUGGUAGUUUGCUUAAAAUCCUAAUAUGCUUGGUAUGCAAGAGUAAUAAUAAAACUUUCUUAUGAGUGUGUUGAAUACUAAGAGAAGUUUGAUGCUUGAUGAUUGUUUUGAGACAUGGAGGUAAUAAUAUCAAAGUUGUGCUAGUUGAGUAGUUGUGAAAUUGAUAAAUACUUGUGUUGAGGUUUGCAAGUCCCGUAGCAUGCACGUAUGGUAAACGUUAUGCAACAAAUUUGAAACAUGAGGUGUUAUUUGAUUGUCUUCCUUAUGAGUGGCGGUCGGGGACGAGCGAUGGUCUUUUCCUACCAAUCUAUCCCCCUAGGAGCAUGCGUGUAGUACCGAGGUUUUUGAUGACUUGUAGAUUUUUGCAAUAAGUAUGUGAGUUCUUUAUGACUAAUGUUGAGUCCAUGGAUUAUACGCACUCUCACCCUUCCAUCCUUGCUAGCCUCUUCGGUACCGUGCAUUGCCCUUUCUCACAUUGAGAUUUGGCGCAAACUUCGCCGGUGCAUCCAAACCCCGUGAUAUGAUAUGCUCUUUCACACAUAAACCUCCUUAUAUCUUCCUCAAAACAGCCACCAUACCUACCUAUUAUGGCAUUUCCAUAGCCAUUCCGAGAUAUAUUGCCAUGCAACUUUCCAUCAUCCCGUUCAUCAUGACACAUUCAUCAUUGUCAUAUUGCUUAGCAUGGUCAUGUAGUUGACAUAGUAUUCGUGGCAAAGCCACCAUUCAUAAUUCUUUCAUACAUGUCACUCUUGGUCCAUUGCAUAUCCCGGUACACCGCCGGAGGCAUUCAUAUAGAGUCAUCUUUGUUCUAGUAUCGAGUUGUAAUCAUUGAGUUGUAAAUAAAUAGAAGUGUGAUGAUCAUCAUUUUCUAGAGCAUUGUCCCAAGUGAGGAAUAUAUUAAAAAAGAAGAAGAAAGGCCAUAAAAAAAGAGAAGGCCCAAAAAAGGAGAAAGGCCAUAAAAAAAGAGAAAAGGCCCGAAAAAAGAGAGAAAAAUGAGAGAAAAACAGAGAAGGGACAAUGUUACUAUCCUUUGCCACACUUGUGCUUCAAAGUAGCACCAUGAUCUUCAUAGUAGAGAGUCUCUCAUGUUAUCACUUUCAUAUACUAGUGGGAAUUUUUUACUAUAGAACUUGGCUUGUAUAUUCCAACAAUGGGCCUCCUCAAGUGCCCUAGGUCUUCGUGAGCAAGCAAGUUGGAUGCACACCCACUAGUUUCUUUUGUUGAGCUUUCAUACAUUUAUAGCUCUAGUGCAUCCGUUGAAUGCCAAUCCCUACUCCUUGCAUUAACAUCAAUUAGUGGGCAUCUCCAUUGCCCAUUGAUUAGCCUCGUUGAUGUGAGACUUCCUCCUUUUUUGUUUUCUCCACAUAACCCCUCUCAUUAUAUUCUAUUCCACCUAUAGUGCUAUGUCCAUGGCUCGCGCUCAUAUAUUGCGUGUACUAAAGUAUGAAACAAUUUCUUGGCUUGUCAUCGGGGUUGUGCAUGAUGAUAGCAUUCUUGUGUGAUGAAAAUAAAACAUGACUAAACCAUAUGAUUUUGUAGGGAUGAACUUUAUUUGGCCAUGUUAUUUUGAGAAGACAUAAUCGCUUAGUUAGUAUGCUUGAAGUAUUAUCAUUUUUAUGUCAAUAUGAACUUUUGUCUUGAAUCUUUCGGAUCUGAAUAUUCAUACCACAAUUAAGAAGAAUUACAUUAAAAUUAUGCCAAGUAGCACUCUGCAUCAAAAAUUCUGUUAUUAUCAUUUACCUACUCGAGGACGAGCAGGAAUUAAGCUUGGGAUGCUUGAUACGUCUCCAACGUAUCUAUAAUUUUUGAUUGCUCCAUGCUAUAUUAUCUACUGUUUUGGACAUUAUUGGGCUUUAUUAUCCACUUUUAUAUUGUUUUUGGGACUAACCUAUUAAGCGGAGGCCCAACCCAGAAUUGUUGUUUUUUUGCCUGUUUUAGGGUUUCGAAGAAAAGGAAUAUCAAACGGAGUCCAAACGGAAUGAAACCUUCGGGAACGUGAUUUUCUCAUCGAAUACAACUCAGGAGACUUGGAACCUAUGUCAAGACACGUAACAGGAGGCCAUGAGGUAGGGGGGCACGCCUACCCCCCCAGGCGCGCCCUCCACCCUCUUGGGCCGCCUGUUGCUCCACCGACAUACUUCUUCCUCCUAUAUAUACCCACGUACCCCAAAACGACCAGAGACGGAUCCAAAACCCUAAUUCCACCACCGUAACUUUCUGUAUCCACGAGAUCCCAUCUUGGGGCCUGUUCCGGAGCUCCACCAGAGGGGGCAUCGAUCACGGAGGGCUUCUUCAUCAACACCAUAGCCCCUCCGAUGAAGUGUGAGUAGUUUACCUCAGACCUACGGGUCCAUAGUUAGUAGCUAGAUGGCUUCUUCUCUCUCUUUUUGGAUCUCAAUACAAUGUUCUCCCCCUCUCUUGUGGAGAUCUAUUCGAUGUAAUCUUCCUUCUGCGGUGUGUUUGUUGAGACCGAUGAAUUGUGGGUUUAUGAUCAAGUCUAUCUAUGAAUAAUAUUUGAAUCUUCUCUGAAUUCUUUUAUGUAUGAUUGGUUAUCUUUGCAAGUCUCUUCGAAUUAUCAGUUUGGUUUAGCCUACUAGAUUGAUCUUUCUUGCAAUGGGAGAAGUGCUUAGCUUUGGGUUCAAUCUUACGGUGUCCUUUCCCGGUGACAGUAAGGGCAGCAAGGCACGUAUUGUAUUGUUGCCAUCGAGGAUAACAAGAUGGGGUCUUCAUCAUAUUGCAUGAGUUUAUCCCUCUACAUCAUGCCAUCUUGCUUAAGGCGUUACUCUAUUUUCAUUAACAUAAUACUCUAGAUGCAUGCUGGAUAGCGGUCAAUGAGUGGAGUAAUAGUAGUAGAUGCAGGCAGGAGUCGGUCUACUUGUCUCGGACGUGAUGCCUAUAUACAUGAUCAUACCUAGAUAUUCUCAUAACUAUGCUCAAUUCUGUCAAUUGCUCAACAAUAAUUUGUUCACCCACCAUAGAAUACUUAUGCUCUCGAGAGAAGCCACUAGUGAAACUAUGGCCCCCGGGUCUAUCUUCAUCAUAUUAAUCUCCCAAUACUUAGUUUUUCCUUUGAUUUUACUUUGCUUUGAUUUUACUUUGCAUCUUUAUCACAAAAAUACCAAAAAUAUAAUCUUAUCAUAUCUAUCAGAUCUCACUCUCGUAAGUGGCCCUAUAGGUAUUGACAACCCCUAUUUGCGUUGGUUUGUAAGGAUUUAUUUGUUUUGUGCAGGUGCGAGGGACUCGCGCGUAGCCUCCUACUGGAUUGAUACCUUGGUUCUCAAAAACUGAGGGACAUACUUACGCUACUUUGCUGCAUCAUCCCUUCCUCUUCGGGGAAAACCAACGCAAUGCUAAAAGAGGUAGCACUAGUGCACCUAUACAAUUUACCAUUGUAUUGGGUGUGUUGGGGACACAAGAGACUCUUUGUUAUUUGGUUGCAGGGUUAUUUGAGAGAGACCAUCUUCAACCUACGCCUCCCACGGAUUGAUAAACCUUAGGCCAUCCACUUGAGGGAAAUUUGCUACUCUCCUACAAACCUCUACACUUGGAGGUCCAACAACCUCUACAAGAAGAAGGUUGCUUUGUAAACAUCAAGCUCUUUUCUGGCGCCGUUGCCGGGGAUGUUAGCGCUUGAAGGUAUAUCUUUAGAUCGUGCAAUCGAAUCUUUUGGUUUCUUGUUUUAUUACUAGUUUAGUAUAUAAAAGAAAAUUACAAAAAAUGGAAUUGAGGGUACCUCAUAUGCUUCAUCUUUUUAAUAUCUUUCAUGAAAAUAAGGAUUCCGAUAAUUGUGCCAAAGUGUUAGAAGAAGAAUGCAUUAGAAUGUUUGACACUAAAUCUUUGGAUGAUGAGCAUGAUUGCAAUGUUGUUAGUAUGAAUUCUUUGAAUAUCCAUGAUGCUAAUGAUUUGAAAAGCCACAAUCUUGGGGAUGCUAUGUUUGAUGAAGAUGAGAUUUUUUGUCCCCCAAGUUUUGAUGAGCAAAUUUAUUUUGAUGAUAGAAUGCCUCCUAUUUAUGAUGAUUAUGAUGAAAGUGGGUUUGGAAGAGUGUCAACUUUAGGAAGUAAUGACCCCACUAUUUUGGAGGGUGUUGAAUCUUAUUGUGAUAAUUAUGAAAGUGGGUUUGGAGAGGUCAUGACUUUAGUUAAUGUUAAUCCCACUAUUUUGGAAGAGUGUCAACUUUGCAUACAUGUGGAUCGUGUUAAGAAUAUGUUUUGUGAUAGCUAUAUUGCUGAAUUUGCUUAUGAUCCAACAUGUAAUUAUUACGAGGGAGGAACAUAUGCUUGUAGGAAUUGCAUUAAUAUCAAGUUUGCUCUCUAUGUGUUGAAAAUCUUGAAGAUUUGCUUGUCUUACCUUCCUGUGCAAGUUGAUUCUUGUUCCCUCAAGUUGUUUGCUCACAAAAUCCCUAUGCAUAGGAAGUGGGUUAGACUUAAAUGUGCUAGUCAUAUUCUUCAUGAUGCUCUCUUUAUGUUUCAAUUCUUAUCCUUUACUAGUAAGCAUGCACGCGCAACGCACGUCAUACAUGUUUUAAAUUAAAUCAAGCAUUUUAUUUCGAUUGAUAAAUCAUAAAAAAUUGAUAAUCCGUGAAUUUCUAUGUGUCUUCUGCAAAAAGAAUCCACCAUAGAAAAUAUAGCCUAAUAUUAUAGUCCUAAUAUUAUAGCCAUUUCAAGAAAGCUGACCCAAAAUGGUGCUGGUAUCAAAACCUACAAUAAGAUAAAACUCAGCAUUUGCAAAGAAUGGGGUGCUUAUCAAUGCACUGCUAAGAAUAGUAAGAUGAUUUAAUUAUAUGGCUUGUUUACUCCAGAUUAAGCUAUAAAUACCAGCAGUUCAAAUACGAACUAACAAGAAAUCAGUUAGGUUUGUAACCUGCAGGGAUAUUUUCUAAAAUAGAAGGUUAGUUUUUCAUACAAUGGAAGAGAAGCGUCCCCUGCCCUUGCAUUCGAAGAUACACACAGCCCAAAAUUAUUACAAAGCUCUUACGAUAUCAAUGAGCCAAAAGGAAGCGACAAACUACAUAGAGUGUGAAAAAAACAGAAAUUUAUAAGAGUACACAUUUAGUGAUGUCGUUUUUUGUCCAGUCAUAAAAUAUUACUAUUACAUUGGAAGGGCAUUUUAUCUACAUGGUUCAGUAGAGAUAGGAUCACAUAAAGAAUAAUGUGAAGCAUGGAAGAAAGUAAAGAAAAGUACUUCCAUUAAGUAUUGCAAUAUGAUAUAGUUGUGCUGACUAAGCUAUUUAAGUGUAACAAAUGAACAACGCCUUGCAAACUGUAUAUACAACAUGCCUGCUGUAUUUGGCUACUGAACUGUAGCUCCUCCUCCAUCCAUUUUAGAGUCCCCAUUCCUAAAAGUAGAAGAACAUGGUUAUUGUUCAUGCAUGAAAAUCUGAUUGUUCUCCAAGGGGGAGUGGUAAUAACAUGUUAAUUUAGGAGCUGUUAUCAAUAUAAAAACAUAAGAAAAGAGAGAAUAUUGCUAGCAAAAAAUAAUUCUGCACAAUAUGAACUCAUGAUAUGAGCAUCAUCUUUUAUUUGGCCACUAUUAGCACAAAUAGAUCAUCUUUUAGUUGGCAACUAUUAACAAAAGUAUUGUUAGGCGAGAAAUUAAAUAUGCUUAAUUGUAUAACACGUAUGGACGCACGCCCUUACUGCAAAAGAAAAAAUAAGUUGCUGCAACUGUUGUCGCACCUGCAUCUAUACAUAGAAUAGAAGACAAAUUUAAUAGCGAACUGACUACUCAUUUUGUCCUCAAACUGAAUAAAAGGGCACUGAUGAUGGGCAUAUCUUUACCCGUUUGACGGGUUCAAAUUGUUGUCAAAAAAGAGAAAAUAGACUCACCUGAUUGAGCAUGAACGACCAAGAAUACAACUACAAAUACUCUAGGAAUAUGGGCAGAAGCAUAUGGUGCCGUACAUGAUUUGUCCAGUUACGUCAGGUGUAGGAACUUAUUCUGAAUUCGGUUAAACCCAAAGGCCCAUCCAAAAAAAAUCUCCUGAUCUAGAAAGCCCGACCAUCUUGAUAAGAGAUAACUAAAAGAAAAAAACACAUAUGUAUCAGUACAGAGGGGGUUCUGUUUAUAACUACAUAUGAAAAAUAUAGUCUUGGUACUUGGAGAGCAAACUUGUGUUAUCCCUCCAAUACAUCUCUGUACACAAUGUUCUUGGUGCUUUUACCCGUCUGAUCUAUUUCUUUAUUUGGCUUUGCCAGAACCCGAGUUGUCCGCCUUGAAACACCCCUUGACAGUGCAAGAUAAAGCUGGUCGUGUGAGAAUACAGGAUCCGAAAGGUAAAUGCCAACAGUUGGGAGGGUUUGCCCCUGAGCUUUGUUUAUGGUCAUUGCAAAACUCAGACGAAUAGGGAAUUGCUUACUCUUCAACUUGAAAGGAAGUGAAAUAUCCUCCGAGGGUGCCAUCGGGAUCCUAGGGAUGAACACUCUCUUUCCAGCAUGUUGUCCACCAACAAUCUCGGCAUCGAUUGUAUUAUUUUGGAAAGCUCUAAUCAUCAAUCUCGUUCCAUUGCAAAGUCCAUUAUUAGGAUCGAGAUUUUGGAGUAGAAUGACAGGACAAUUGACUUUAACUUUUAAAAUAUCGGGAGGCAAGCCAUUCGGAGUGAGGUUGUUCAGAUAGUCAAUUGGGUAGUUAUUGUGUGUAUCAUCAUCAAUUGAAUCAAAGCUGUAGUAUACCUUUUGUUGGCCGGGAAAUCUGUCGAUCAUCUUUGCAUUUACGUCGUCCACGUGCUCAUUCUUGGUAGAAAGAAUAGCACAUGUGCUCAUGUAGGCACCGGAUGAUGCAUUCUCAUGAAGAGAUGGGAACACAUGUUCAAUAAACUUCAUGACUGGUGCAUCACCAGGUGUGUAACCUAUCACAAUGUCAUCAGGCAGACGCACAUAAUCAUCACCGAUCGUCUCCUCCAUUCCAUUGCCAAUUCUCAAGAGGUAUUUGGAGAACCAUAGGUUUGUCUAAUUUUCUACCAUAGAUAUGAUCUUUGCAGCGUGGCGUCAGUGAUCUGUGCUCUUGUCCCGCGGGGGACAACGGGAAGGACCUGCCUAAAAUCAUCUCCAAACACCACAACCUUUGCCCCAAAUGGCAUAACACAUCCCAUGAUAUCCCGUAGUGACCUAUCUAGUGCCUAACUGCUUGACGCUUCGUCAUGGCAACCUCAUCCCAGAUUAUGAGAGAUGCUCUCCGAAGCAACUCUGCAGUACCACUCUGCUUGGUGAAGCUGCAGAUGCUAUUAUCCAUGAGCUUAAUUGGAAUUUUAAACCAAGAGUGGGCGGUACGUCCACCGGGCAUGAUUGAUGCGGCUAUUCGAGAUGUCGCAGUUGCAAUAGCUAUUUUCCCCAAUGAACACACUUUAUCAAGAAGCGCCUUGUAGAGAUAAGUCUUCCCCGUGCCACCAGGACCAACAACAAAGAAAACCUGUUUCCUGUUGUUCACCACGUGAUCCAAGAUUUCCUCAAACCCAGCCCUCUGCUCAAUAUUUAGGGAUGUAUAUAGAUCUAAAUGCUCUUGAUCCACACCGACUGACAACUCCUCUCGGACCUCCCUUAGGAGGUCGCCGGAACCAUCACCGGUCUCAACCAGCUCCGGGAGACCAUAGCUUUUAAUAUCUUUGCCCAUCGAAUGCACCAAAUCCCGGAUGUCUCUUGCUACCUCUGGAGCACUGUGUUGGUUUUCUCCGAAGAGGAAGGGAUGAUGCAGCAAAGUAGCGUAAGUAUUUGUAACAUCCCAAAUUUUCAAUUUGGAAUGUUAUACAUAGAUCAUUCUUGCAUAUCAUGUUUUGUUGCAUUUCGUCUCGUGAUCCUCGAAAUCCUAAGCAACUCAAGGACCCUCGGAGAGAGUCGGGGAUUUCCCCGGUUUUCAAAUUUGAUUUAUAUCAAAUAUUGAUACGAGGAUUUUGGUUUUAAUUAUUUUUCUCUCCGAAAAUAUUUCAUAUUAAAAUAUAUGAGAGGAGAUUACAUGACUUCUCCAAAAUAAAUGAAAUAUUGGAGGAAAAAUAUUAAAAUCAAAUUUUGCUUUUAUUUGGUUUUUAUUUGCAAUUUUGGUUGCAUUAGAAAAAAAUUGCACGUUUUCAUAAUUGCAUUUUAGGGCCAAGAAAAUGUUCAUCUCGUUCUAAAUAUUUUAUUUAGACGGAGAAAAUUUGUUUUGGCAUUUUUAGAAUUUUAUUAUAUUUUCUAGGAUUUUUCUGAGUUUCGGCGGAUUUUUUUUUAAAAUGCGCCUAGGCCUAGCUGGGCCGAAGCCCAGCCGCCGGCCUGCCUCCCCGCGCGCCAUCUCCCCCAGGAGACCGAGUCGCCGCUACCUCGGACGAGGAGUCCGGCCUAGACUCCUCCUCGCCGCCGCCUUGGCCCCUCCUCCAAGCUGCCGCCCCCUCUCUCUUAAAUACCCCGCCACCGCCACCGCCACCACCACCCGCCGCACCGCCGUAGCCCCACCCGUAGCCGCACUCCGCCUCUGCCGCACCUCGCAGCCGCCGCUGCUCCUGCGCCUCGCCGNNNNNNNNNNNNNNNNNNNNNNNNNNNNNNNNNNNNNNNNNNNNNNNNNNNNNNNNNNNNNNNNNNNNNNNNNNNNNNNNNNNNNNNNNNNNNNNNNNNNNNNNNNNNNNNNNNNNNNNNNNNNNNNNNNNNNNNNNNNNNNNNNNNNNNNNNNNNNNNNNNNNNNNNNNNNNNNNNNNNNNNNNNNNNNNNNNNNNNNNNNNNNNNNNNNNNNNNNNNNNNNNNNNNNNNNNNNNNNNNNNNNNNNNNNNNNNNNNNNNNNNNNNNNNNNNNNNNNNNNNNNNNNNNNNNNNNNNNNNNNNNNNNNNNNNNNNNNNNNNNNNNNNNNNNNNNNNNNNNNNNNNNNGCGCCUCGCCGCUGCUGCCGCGCCGCCGCCGCCCCGCCCCGUGCUGGAGCCGCCCGUCGCGCUGGACUUCGCCGGAGGUAGAACCGUUCGGUUUAAAAAAAACAGGUUCGGUUUUUUUAGAAACCCUAGUUUUUUGGAUAGAUCGGUUCGCCGGUUUUUCCUGGUUCUUCUCUUUAGCGGACGUUUGUCCAUUCGUUCAUUUUAACAAACAGUUUUCGCCCAUUAGUAUAGAUAACGAACACUUGUUCGUUAGCCUGUUCGUCAGUUUUCUUUUAUCAGAUCAAUCCGCGAUUAUUUCUGAUCGUGAUUUCUGAUCUGAUUUUCGUUUUAGUUUUUCUUUUCGCUCAUUAGUCAGAAUCAGGCGAUUCAAGCGCCUCGAUCUUCGUCUCGAGACCCUCUUUCCGCUUAACCAACUUGCACAAGUUUUUGCUACUGUAAAAUUUGACCUAGGUCCAGAUUAGUAAACAGAUCUUGUUUCUUUCUCCGUUUGAGUUUCGUUGCUCCGUUUGAUUUGAUUCUUUUUGCAAAGCGGAGUUCUUAAGUUGAACAUUCUGGUUAGAUCUUCUUAUUUGAUUUUACCUAUGUUUCUUUGCUUGAUUUCUUAUGUAUGCUAUUGUUUGUUUGCGAUAGAAUUCUUGGAAUGUGAAGCGUGUUAUUUGGAGUCUCUAGGUUACGCGGAUCGUCAGCAAGGCAAGUAACACUUUGAUCAUACCCCUUUAUCACCCAGUUUUUAUGCAUUAGUUCCAAUCCUCAAACAUUGCAUGGUUAGGAUGUCAUUAACAUGUGGGUUGGGAAGUAGUUGAUGAGGUAGAACCUAUUGCCCUGUUACAUUCAAACAUUGGGAGUUACUUCUACGCGUUGCUUAUAUUGCUAUGCUAUGCUCGUAGACGUGGUUUGGGUGAGUGAAAUCCAUGACAGAUGUGAGAUUGUUAAUUAAUGGUUCAACUUAAGGUGGCAACUUAGAUGUGGAUUGAGGCACCUGGAGUACCCAGUGUUGCCUGUAUUUUUGGAAAUCCCGGUGUACCCGUGUGAUCUUCCUAUGGACCGCCACCCAGGCUCAAAGGGAACUGAGAUUAUUCAUGCUAGAAACUUCCGUGUGCAGCCACUAGCUAUUAUGGGCUCUAGCAUAGUUGAGUAAGUUACGUGAAGCUCUUGAAGAGGUGGAUCAACUAGUAGUGGGUUUGUAGGUUUGGUAUGGUCAACCCGGAGUAGAGAGUUAAUGUUUCUGAAAGACUGUGUCUCGGUCAUCCGUUUCUCAAACGCCCUGUAGUGCGAGAAAACCAACGGAGGAGAUCGAGUCUUGUGGGGAAAAGUGCGCAAACCUCUGCGGAGUGUAUAAACUAAUCAUGGUUAGCCGUGUCCCCGGUUAUGGACAAUCUUGAGUAUCUAGUACUUGGAGUAUCUUAAGUAUCUCAUCACUCUAAAAAUUUAAUAUUGUUGGGUUAUUAAUUACUUUAAUUGGGAUUGAGUUGGAGGAACCUUCUCAAUGAUGUUUCAACUACCAUGAUAGUUAAAAUUAAAAUCUAUUCCUUUGCUGUAGGAAAAAAUUGGCUUUUCGCAAAAACUAUAACCAUAGAGCUUUCCACCAGCCAAAUAUGCAUGUAGUGAUAGCAUUAUUCUUUUCCUGCUCUACUGUGUUAUUUUGCCAGCAUAUUCCAUGUGCUGACCCGUUUUUGGGCUGCAACGUAUUAUGUUGCAGACUUUUCAGACGAGGAGUAAGGUUCGUUAGGUCAUUGCCGUGCAGCUCAGCUAUGCCGUUGGAGUUGAUGGACUCACUUUAUCUUCCAAGCCUUCCACUGUUAUCUUAUUAGAUGGCCUUAAGCCAUAUUUAUUGUAAUAAGUUCUCUUUGGAGACAUUCGAUGUAAUAAGUGUGUGAUUGCUACUCUGUUAUAAAUCCUCGAGUACUGUGUGUGUCAGCAUUACUGAUCUAGGGAUGACACUGAAGCACAGAGACUUGACCGUUUGAGGUCGGGUCGCUACAGUAUUUCCCUCAGUUUUUGAGAACCAAGGUAUCAAAUCCAGUAGGAGGCUACGCGCGAGUCCCUCGCACCUGCACAAAACAAAUAAAUCCUCGCAACCAACGCGAUAAGGGGUUGUCAAUCCCUACACGGCCACUUACAAGAGUGAGAUCUGAUAGAUAUGAUAAGAUAAUAUUUUUGGUAUUUUUGUGAUAAAGAUGCAAAGUAAAAUAAAAGCAAAGUAAAUAUCAAAGGAAAUAACUAAGUAUUAGGAGAUUAAUAUGAUGAAGAUAGACCCCGGGGUCAUAGGUUUCACUAGUGGCUUCUCUCGAGAGCAUAAGUAUUCUCCGGUGGGUGAACAAAUUACUGUUGAGCAAUUGACAAAAUUGAGCAUAGUUAUGAGAAUAUCUAGGUAUGAUCAUGUAUAUAGGCAUUGCUACAUCUUGAGCUUGCGUUGGAUUUCCCCGAAGAGGAAGGGAUGAUGCAGCAGAGUAGCGUAAGUAUUUCCCUCAGUUUUUGAGAACCAAGGUAUCAUUCCAGUAGGAGGCCACGCUCAAGUCCCUCGUACCUGCACAAAACGAUAGCUACUUGCAACCAACGCGAUUAGGGGUUGUCAAUCCCUUCAUGGUCACUUACGAGAGUGAGAUCUGAUAGAUAUAAUAUUUUUGGUAUUUUUGGUAUAGAGAUGCAAAGUGAAAAGUAAAAGGCAAAGUAAAAGGCAAAGCAAGAUUAAAGUGAUGGAGAUUGAUAUGAUGAGAAUAGACCCAGGGGCCAUAGGUUUCACUAGUGGCUUCUCUCAAGAGCAUAAGUAUUCUAUGGUGGGUGAACAAAUUACUGUUAAGCAAUUGACAGAAUUGAGCAUAGUUAUGAGAAUAUCUAGGCAUGAUCAUGUAUAUAGGCAUCACGUCCGUGACAAGUAGACCGAAACGAUUCUGCAUCUACUACUAUUACUCCACUCACCGACCGCUAUCCAACAUGCAUCCAGAGUAUUAAGUUAAAAACAGAGUAACGCUUUAAGCAAGAUGACAUGAUGUAGAGAGAUAAAUUCACGCAAUAUGAAAUAAACCCCAUCUUGUUAUCCCUGAUGGCAAUGAUGCAAUACGUGCCUUGCUGCCCCUUCUGUCUCUGGGAAAGGACACCGCAAGAUCGAACCCAAAGCUAAGCACUUAUCCCAUGGCAAGAACUACCAAUCUAGUUGGCCAAACCAAGCGGAUAAUUCGAAGAGACUUGCAAAGAUAACCAAUCAUACAUAAAAUAAUUCAGAGAAGAUUCAAAUAUUAUUCAUAGAUAGACUUGAUCAUAAACCCACAAUUCACCGGUCUCAACAAACACACCGCAAAAAGAAGAAGAUUACAUCGAAUAGAUCUCCACAAGAGAGGGGGAGAACUUUGUAUUGAGAUCCAAAAAGAGAGAAGAAGCCAUCUAGCUGCUAACUAUGGACCCGAAGGUUUGAAGUAAACUACUCACACUUCAUCGGAGAGGCUAUGAUGAUGUAGAAGCCCUCCGUGAUGACGGCCCUCUUCGGUGGAGCUCCGGAACAGGCCCCAAGAUGGGAUCUCAUGGAUACAGAAAGUUGCGGCGGUGGAAUUAGGUUUUUGGCUCCGUCUCUGUUCGUUUGGGGGUACGUAUGUAUAUAUAGGAGGAAGAAGUACGCCGGUGGAGCUCCGAGGGGCCCACGAGGCAGGGGGUGCGCCCUAGGGGGGGCCCACCCUCGUGACCGCCUCUCUGAUGCCUUGGCGUAGGGUCCAAGUCUCCUGGAUUACGUUCGGUGAGAAAAUCACGUUCCCGAAGGUAUCAUUCCGUUUGGACUCCGUUUGAUAUUCUGUUUCUUCGAAACUCUAAAAUAGGCAAAAAAACAGCAAUUCUGGGCUGGGCCUCCGGUUAAUAGGUUAGUCCCAAAAAUAAUAUAAAAGUGGAAAAUAAAGCCCAAUAUAGUCCAAAACAGUAGAUAAUAUAGCAUGGAGCAAUCAAAAAUUAUAGAUACGUUGGAGACGUAUCAGGCAUCCCCAAGUUUAAUUCCUGCUCGUCCUCGAGUAGGUAAAUGAUAAAAAGAGAAUUGUUGAUGCGGAGUGCUACUUGGCAUAAUUUAAAUGCAAAUCUUCUUAAUUGUGAUAUGAAUAUUCAGAUUCAAAAGAUUCAAGACAAAAGUUUAUAUUGACAUAAAAAAUAAUAAUACUUCAAGCAUACUAACAAAGCAAUUAUGUCUUCUCAAAAUAACAUGGCCAAAGAAAGUUAUCCCUACAAAAUCAUAUAGUCUGGCUAUGCUCUAUCUUCACCACACAAAAUAUUUAAAUCAUGCACAACCCCGAUGACAAGCCAAGCAAUUGUUUCAUACUCUAACUUUUUCAAAACUUUUUCAAUCUUCACGCAAUACAUGAGCGUGAGCCAUGGAUAUAGCACUAUAGGUGGAAUAGAAUGGUGGUUGUGGAGAAGACAAAAAGGAGAAGAUAGUCUCACAUCAAGUAGGCGUAUCAACAGGCUAUGGAGAUGCCCAUCAAUAGAUAUCAAUGUGAGCGAGUAGGGAUUGCCAUGCAACGGAUGCACUAGAGCUAUAAGUAUAUGAAAGCUCAAAAAGAAACUAGUGGGUGUGCAUCCAACUUGCUUGCUCAUGAAGACCUAGGGCAAUUUGGGGAAGCCCAUCAUUGGAAUAUACAAUCCAAGUUCUAUAAUGAAAGAUUCCCACUAGUAUAUGAAAGUGAUAACAUGAGAGACUCUCUACUAUGAAGAUCAUGGUGCUACUUUGAAGCACAAGUGUGGUAAAAGGAUAGUAACAUUGUCCCUUCUCUCUUUUUCUCUCAUUUUUUGAUUUGGGCCUUUUCUCUUUUUUUAUGGCCUCUUUUUUUAUUUGGUCUUCUUUGGCCUCUUUUUUUUUCGUCCGGAGUCUCAUCCCGACUUGUGAGGGAAUCAUAGUCUCCAUCAUUCUUUCCUCACUUGGGACAAUGCUCUAAAAAUGAUGAUCAUCACACUUUUAUUUUUCUUACAUCUCAACAAUUACAACUCGAUACUUAGAACAAAAUAUGACUCUAUGUGAAUGCCUCCGGCGGUGUACCGGGAUAUGCAAUAUGACAAUGAUGAAUGUGUCAUGAUAAACGGAACGGUGGAAAGUUGCAUGGAAAUAUAUCUCGGAAUGGCUAUGUCAAUGCCAUAAUAGGUAGGUAUGGUGGCUGUUUUGAGGAAGGUAUAUGGUGGGUGUAUGAUACCGGCGAAAGGUGCGCGGUAUUAGAGAGGCUAGCAAAAGGUGGAAGGGUGAGAGUGCGUAUAAUCCAUGGACUCAACAUUAGUCAUAAAGAACUCAUAUACUUAUUGCAAAAAUCUAGAAGUUAUCAAAGCAAAGUAUUACGCGCAUGCUCCUAGG
rnacentral:lncRNA from 1 species